rnacentral:lncRNA from 1 species
CUAGUUUAGUUAUUGAGAGACAAUUGAAAAAGAUUUUGACUUGUUCCGGGAUCCUUUAUCCUUGCCUUGAAUCAUUGGGUUUAGACAUUACUUCGGUGAUCUUUAAUCGUUUCAAAAUGGUAGCAACAUACCAUUUUUUUGUGAUUUCUUUUUCUCAAAGAAUCAUAUAAAUAAUGGAUUCUCGUGUGAUACACUUUUGAUCAAAUUUGAUGUUUGAAUUUGAAACUUGUUCGAAUUGGAUCCUUUCGAUUUGUAUACCGAACCUAUACUUACGAAGUAGUUUGAACUUAUUGAUUGACACUAACCCUAGAUCUCCGCCCUUGAUAAAUGAAUCAAUACUUUCUACUCGAGCUCCAUCAUGUACUAUUUACAUCAAAACCCUAAAAAAAACAGAGCUCGAGUGCAACCGAACAAACUAUGUCGAGUCAAGAGCAUCUUCAUUCCUAUAUAAUAGAAAAUGGUGGGUGUAAGAAUCCACAGUGGAUCAUGUCCUUCAAGUCGCACGUUGCUUUCUACCACAUCGUUUUAAACGAUGUUUUACCAUAACCUCUAAUUUCUUGGAACUGGUAUGUAAUUGAUUCAUUUAUGGAAUCAUGUAUAGUCAUUGGGUUAGUUGGUCCAUUAGAACGGAGGAGCGGAAACCUUCUUCAUUUCUUUCUCAGGAGCGGACAGCCUGAAACUUUAUCCUUUCUUUCGGAGUAGCUCCAGCGUAGCGUAGCGGUGAAAGCUCAAAUUGCAUUGAGCCUGUGAAAAGUCAAGAAAAGAAAAGAAUAAUUAGGAUUUCAUAACCUUGUUUUUACGGAGGGAAAUACAAGAAAAUGCUAGGUUUUGGGCCUAUAAAGUAGCAAGAAAUCAUGAAAAAUCCGUCAAAAUUGAUCUAUUUUCGUUAAAUAGAAAUCUUCGAUUUACUAUGAAAAAGAAGCAAAAAAGCCGGGAAAUAGCAAUGAAAGAAUCAAGCCUAUAAAAGAAAUUCAAUGUGCAAACUUCUAGUUUGAGUUUCUUUUCCGGAUAUUGAGAGGUCUAUUCUGGAUUCCGCGUAGGAGAAAGAAGACAAAGAGUGAAGCUUAUAGGGAAAAGAAAUGAACAUAGUUUUCUUAUAGUUUGAGUUUGUGGUCCGGAUACUGACAGGGAUAUUGUAGACCGCGUAGUGGGCUUAGAUGGAUUCCCCUUACCCUACUUACUCAACUCUUUCUUCUGCCUCAUUCGAUUCGUGUCCAGUGAAACUGUCCUCUUUAUGUGAGACAGCGUACAAAUCCUCGUACGAGACGAGGCCUGGUGGCAGAAAUAAAUGAUGGGUGUGGCGAGGCGAUCCCGGUGUCUAGGGUUUACGGACUAACUCCUAAUCCACUGACGUGUCUCGGCCAUAGUAUUACAUUUCCCAAGUCCAAGUCCUUCGGACCCUUUCACACCCUAACAUUUUGUUGGAAUCCCCAGUCCGUCCGGAGGUGUCUCGGCCCCCACGUAGCGGGACUGAGGACGUCUGUAAUUUCCUUGAAGGAAGAGAAGAAAGAACGUUUGCUCAUUUAAGAGUUUAGAGUUGGGAAGUCAAUCAACAAGGCAUUAGGCCUUUCAUUCCCGAUCGAUCUUUAAUCAGCCCUCAUCUCCAGGAACGAGAACAAAAGCUACUUUCUCAACGGAAAGACCAACGGGGCAAUAUUCUUUGCGCCUCAGAUAUAAGUUUCAGUAUUUUAGGGGAGAUCUCAUGUAAAUCGAGUGGAAGACCAAGACGGGUAAGAGACGGAGUGGGGAAGGGUAGCCCGGAAGCUAGGGCGAGGUACCUGAAAGCGAGUUUCAGCCGCUUUGUUUACGAGGGUUAGGCUCGAAGCUAGAACUAAGAAGCCUGGGGAGUUGCCGAAGCCUCAGAUCUUGGAGUUGCAGUAUUUAUGAUUUACAGGAAUAUAAGAGUCCUUCGGACCACUUUCUCUUGUUCUUGAUUUGCAAUCUCAUUGAUGAGAAAACCCGAGUUCCUCGGUUCCCGAACUAACUCAUUUAAAGAAAAGAAAUAGCUGACGGGGGGCUGAAGCAAGAGUAGGGUCCGUAGUCGCUCUUUCACUUCAGGUAAGACCAAGAUCAAGAGUCUGCUGUCCCAGUUGGGGAACAAAGUAGCAAGCGAGAGGGUCCCUCCGGAGGCGAAAUCUAAUAUGAGUUGCCGUAGGGGACUCGACUGAAAGGUGCGAAGGAGCUCGGUUCAAUUUCAGGAGAGGUGAAAAGAAUAUUGACGCAAAUUCUUUGCUCCUUAAAGAAGAAAAGAGGACUCCUUCUACGUCCGAAGGACUAUCCAUAUUCAAAGGAAUUCCACUAAAAGAGAAGCGAGAGGCGCGAAGCUGGAAAUGUAAUACUAUGGCUGGUCCGAAGGAGCAGCGACUCUUAAGGAGCGCUAACGAGUCCGGAGGUGUCUCAGCCAUACUUUGUAACUUCUACUCGGACGCUGCCUGUCCAUAUAAUCAGUUUAUCCAUUCAUCCUGGGCCGACCGAUUCCUUCUUCUUGCUUGAAGUUACUCAGCCCCACUCUCCUCUCCAACUCAGCUGCCUCUCCUAUAUCUUCAACUACGAGCACCUUCGCACCUAUCUCAGCCAUAGUCUGUAAAUCAUAGACCCGGACCCGAGUGACUUUCUUCCUAUGAAACGGAGACGGAUGACUCUGAGAAUUACCUUGCUGCCGGUUCCUCAACAGAUCCCAGGAAAUGUAAGACUAUGGCUGAGACACCUGCGAAACUGCUCAAGAAAGAAGAGGAUAUGAACAAGUCCUUCUACGGGAGGAGUCUGACUUUCUUCUUCUCUGUAGCGUAGUGGGAGAAUGAAGAGAUCAUGAAACUGGCGAAACAAACUGCAAAGAAGACUCUGUAGGAGCCGUAGGAGAAGUCCGAAGGAGCCUUCUACGAUAGUAAUCCUUAAUAGUCAGGACCUACUUCCUGACGGUAGAACUGAAUUCAUGUGUUAAGCAAAUUCUCUCUAUUCCGUAGGUGUCUCAGCCAUACUCUGUCACUUCUGUUGUCUUGUCUUCUUCUUGCAAAAAGCCGGCUCCGUCCUACGUCCGUCCGGAGGAUUUCUCCGUAGGACUCGUUAGCGCUCCUUAACAGUCGCUGCCCUGCCAGCUAUAGCUAAAAGUUAGCAAAAUGGGAUUUUUGGUACUAAAUCUAUAUAUAUUAAUAAGUAGUUUAGUCCUCAGUCCCGCUACGUGGGGGCCGAGACACCUCCGGACUCCGGACCGAGAAAGACAAAGAAAAGAAGAGAGAAAGAAAGGCGAGAUGUAAUAUGAGAAAGAGCUCUGAAGGAGUGUUAAGGAGCGCAAAUCGAACUACGGAGCGGUUCCUUUGAUUGACGUAGGUUCUCGCUUGGCUUCUAACCGCGUAGUGGGUAAGGCUGCGAAGGACUAUCUUGAUUCUGCACUCAUAUUAGAUUUCACCUUCGCGCCUUUGAUUGUUUUGGACUAUCUUAUCUAUCUUUAUUCCCUUUUCUGUCUUCGGGGAGAGCAUAUCUCUCGCAUAUUCUAUUCUAGUCGGCCUGCCUCUUCCUAUUCCGAGACCAUUGCUUCCUAUUUGCUUUGAGAGUUUCUCUUCCUAUCCUGGCUUCAAAACGUAAGUGGAAUAAAAAAGUCCUUCGGACUCUUCGGAUCGCUGCUACUCUCUUGGGGUGGAUUAUCUUAUCAAGGAUAUUCCUAAUAUCAGAUACCCUCUACAACCAACUCAGCUGCUGCCGACCCAACUUCAAGAUCGACUGCUUCCGAUCCGGCUUCUGCAACAUCUACUUCAGACUCAACUUCUCUCUCUUUUCCUAUGGGGACUACUUCUGCUUUAUGUUCCAAGUCUGAGUGGAUAGUGGAUAUCUUUUAAUUGCUUGGCCCGAUAUCAUAUCUUUCCUCUCUCGAGCGGCUGGCUGAGCACCUCUCCUCUUUCGCUUACUCAUUUCUUAUUCAAAGAAUUCCAUGAAAGACAAACUCCUCUGGGCCUAGCCCGAUCCUCAGAGCAUAUUCUCUAACCGGUCCGUGGUAGUUUAAUUCCCGCUCCGUGGGUGUCUCAGCCAUACUCUGACAUUUCCUGUAAUUGAGGAGCCUUUUCUUUAAUAGUCAGGUUCUAUUUAGAUAAGAUAAAAGACCGACUACGCAGUUACGAACGAGAGAAGAAAGGCGCGAGACUUUGUUUACUUUUUCGAUAAAGAAAAUGUUAGAGAAGUAGUCGAAUUCUCUGUUAAUUCUCUGUUUUUGUUAGUGGUCAGUUAGUCUUCCAUGUGCAAUUCAUGAGAAGGAUCGGAGCGAAGCGAGCUAUUUCACUCAAAAUUCCCCAUGAUCAGAGCUACCUACGGCAACUCUAUGGCGUCAACACCUCCGGACCGGAGCCAAUCUUUUCAUAUAUUCAGAACGAGAUCUUUUAGAUAUCACAAAGAUUCCCUAUUCUAUCUUCUAAAGAAAGAUAGAGAAAUUUCGUAAUAGAUCAGAGAGUCUCUUUUCCUAGGUAGUAGUGGCUUUGUCUCUCUCUCUCUCUUCUUGUUCCCACGUUCAGAACCUACUUAAAGGAAGAAAAGGUUAGAAGCUUUAGCCUACGGAAAGGUUUUUAUGAUUUACAAGACUUUCUUUAUAGAAAAGAAGAAAGAGAACUCCCAGGCGAAAUCUAAUAUGAGCUCUGUCAUUUCCCAAAACAACAAAGGCGCGAAGCGAAGCGUCCGGAGGUGUUGACGCCAUAGUAUGGGAGCGCUAACGCGACUGUUAAGGAGCGCUUUAGAGUCCUACGGAUAAAUCCUUCGGACUCCGGACUCGUUUGUUGUUUAUCCAGAAAGCAAUUUGCACUAUCGUAAUAGAAGAAAGCAAAGAUUCCCUGUUACGAAUGAAACAUAGAAUGAAACAACAAAAGAAUGAACUAUUCACUCUUUCAUUCUCUCUUUUUCAUAUAUCAUAAAUGAGUGAAUCACUCAAUUUCUCGAUAGUUUGUUCUUUGUAUCUUUCUUCCUGUUCUCAAGAGGUUUAGAAAGACAAAAGUGGCUUCAAGAGGAGAUCAGACUCUUUCUCUUAAACAGGGUCGAGCCUAACUCCUCUCCGAAACCUCGAGCGGUUCCACUCCUCUCCCGAACUAAAGAGAGAAUGAAAGACAAAGAGUGAAGUUAUUCACACCUCUCGCUAUUCCAUAACCUCUUCUCGUCUUUUUUUGAUUUACGGAUUUCUUCAUCUCUUCUUACUUGUUCAUUCAAUCUUUCCAUUCAGAAUAUUAGCUUUGAAAGAAGCGACUUCCCCAACAGGGCAACUUCAACUAAAGCAGAAAGGGAAAGCACUUGGUCUAUAGCCUCACCGGAUGGCGCAAGAAAGAGAUCCUUCAACUUCCGCAUCCUAAACUGGGACCUUGAGCUAGUCUAUUAGUGGUGGCAUUUCAAGGGACCCCCCAAAGAAAAGAAACCUAGUGAAUUUCACAUUCUCACGUCGGUGUUGACGCCAUACUUUUACACUUCCUAGCCUCCUUCGGUGUUUAUGAUUUGAAAAGACUAUGACAAAGAUUACUAUGCGGUAGAACCUCCUAAACCUACUAAAGGAAUCUCCAGGAAGUUACAGAGUAUGGCUGAGACACAUGAGCAGAGCUUGAAUUACUUAAAAGAGAGAGAGUCAGCUAGACCGAUCUACGCCGCUUGGGACCGAUAGUUAGAAGCUUUACCAAGUGGGGUUGGGGAGGGGAAUGAGUCGGGUAUCAUAAGACCGAAUGGGAUAGGUAUUCAUAGCAAGGUCAGAUCCCUAGUUCACGAGGUGCGAAGCUGCUCAACUUCUUUUCUGAGUUUCUCGGGUCUUGAGUCUUGGAAUUGCAUAACUGAAAGAGUCCACUCUCCCUCUUUCAUGAGAUCUUUCCGAAGAAAGGCCUUAGAGUUUAGGGUAGACCGAGUGGAAGCUUCUGAGUUGGAGUUUGACAGGUAACCUCCCUCUUGAGUUCUGAUUGAAAGGUAGAAAACUCCUCCUUCUACGCCUUUCGACCAAUAAAAAAUCACUCCUUCGCACCUUGCUGCUUAGUUUACUCGGAAUAGUCAUUACCUAGACGAAAGCUAUCUAAUCACUAUUAUCAUAGAGACUAUCUCAAUGCGGGUAUUAUAGAAGAAAGAAGAGGAAUGAGAAGGAUCCGUCUCACUUCAAGAGCUAGAAGAGAGGGAUCGAUCGGGUCUUGAUCUUCCUAUCUCUCAGAGGGAGAAAGUUGCGAGACAGGAAAGGAGAGAGCCCCACCAAGAGCGAAGAGGAAGCUAGGUGGUAAGAAGAAUCGUAAGCGAGCACUCGGAAUUUUUGGUCUUUCGUCAGUUGAAUCCGGCUCGGCAAGAGAUAGAAAGGGUCUCAGAAAUUGAGGAGGAGCAGUCUGAUUCUCUCUGAAUGAGAUCUUUCAUGAUCUUCUUAGCUUUAGAAACUAGUUAUAUCUUAUGUUUUCAACUUCUUUCUUGAGCAGUUUCAUUCUCAAUGAAUUAAUGAAUUAACGAUAAAAGCAUUCAAUGCAUUAAAAAACAAAACAAAGAAGAAUUUCUUUCUUGCGUUCCGUAUAGGUGAAAAGAAUAUUGACCUUGCAAAAUAGCAUUUUCUUCUGUCAAAACCUUGCAAAACUGGUCUUUCCCUAGGAAGCAAAAAGAGUCGAUUUCUUGCUGUAUCUUUGUUUUGGAAAGUCUUUCGAAAGCAUUAAUACAGCUAUAGCCAAAAGUUAGCAAAAUGGUAAUUUCCCUCUACAAAGAUGUGAAAAUGGCUGAUUUUUCAUGAAAAGUUGCUGCCAGCAGAUCCUAAACAUAGACUGAACUAGUCCUUCGGACGUGUCUCAGCCAUACUCUGUAAUUUCCAGUCGAAAAUGGCUGAUUUUAGUGGAUUUCUUGCUGCCUUAUAUAUUCUGAUCAGCUCUCCUUAUCAGUCCGGAGGAUUUAUCCGUAGGACUCUAAAACGGAGGCUCAAAGAAUUUGAGAUUAGAAGCGCCUUGCAUUUUCUUCAUUUUAGCUACGAAACCUACUUAUGAAUUUAGAGAUCAACUUAUUCUUUUCGUAAUUCUAUUAUAUAAGAAAGUGACUUAGAAGACGAUUCUACAGACGAUUCUCCUCGUCUGAUCGUUAAGUAGGUUUAGUACCGUCCGGAGGAGCAGCGACUGUUAAGGAGCGCAGGAGCGCUAACGAGUCCGGAGGUGUCUCAGCCAUACUUUGUAACUUCUACUCGGACGCUGCCCAGUCAAUUCAGAAAUUCAGCCUUUAGUAGCCGCACAUAAGCAAGAAAUUCAGCAAGAAGAACGGAAACCACCCUCUGCAACCGCUCCGUGGGUCACUUCAUCCGCACUGAACCAGGUGCCUGUCUCCUUUCCUUUCUUCGAACCUGAUUUUUCCUGCAACUCUAAAAAGCGCUCCUUAACAGUCGCUGCUGGUCCUUUUGACUUGUUUAUGGAAUUGAAGCUCGGCUACAUCUCUUCUUUCUACAUAAAUAAUAGAAUGACCCCUCCCCCACGGUGCGGUGCAAAGAAUAUUGCGAAGACCGCUCCGAAGGAGUCUUAUGAAACCUGGACCCUUCUUUUUAAAGAAGAAGAAGUCCGGAGUGCCAAAGAAAGGUCCAGGUGAUUUAUCCGUAGUCCGGAGUCCGCAGUCCGCAGUGCCAAAGAAAGGUCCAGGGUCCGGAGUCCGCAGUCCGCAGUCCUACGUCCGCAGUCCGCAGUCCGGAGGAUUCUUAUCCGUAGGACUAUCCAUUAGAAGGAGGACUAUCCAUUAAAGAAAGAAAGGUCCAGGGUCCGGAGUCCGCAGGAUUUAUCCGUAGUCCGGAGUCCGGAGUCCGCAGGAUUUAUCCGGAGGACUAUCCAUUAGAAGUAGUCCGGAGUCCGGAGGAUUCUUAUCCGUAGGACUAUCCAUAUGGAAGUAGGACCAUCCGUAAUUAACCGAAGUAGGACUAUCCAUUAGAAGUAGUCCGGAGGAUUUAUCCGUAGGACCAUCCGUAAUUAACCGAAGUAGGACCAUCCAUAUGGAAGGAAGGAGGACUCGUUUGUUGUUUAUCCAUUCAUCCUGGGCCGACGGGGAUCCUUAGGAGAUACCCGAUCAUGAGAUCUGGACCGCUACGAUACAUUUGUUUUGGAAAGUCUUUCGUCAUCAUUAAUAGGGGCCGAUGGAUCUAUUUUCUAUCCAUCUUUCUCUAACGAAAAAAGAUAGACUCAAAAGUCAGAUAAUCAGCCUGAUUAAGGGUCGGGAUCGAGCACACAUCUUUCCCGUUCUUGGAUGAAAGCCUAAACAGCAAAAGGAAUGGCAGGGCGGGUCGAAGAAGAGGCUCGGGUCGGAGAGUCACACCAAUCGUCGGCUUGAUUAGAGUCUUGUCUUUCUUACCUUCUGCAGAGAGAUUCUUGCUAGUUUCACCGGCAGCGACUGUUAAGGAGCGCUAACCCUUCGGAUAAAUCCUCCGGGGCCACUGUCCUUAUUACUUUUGUCGAAUGAAUUACCUUUUUCUAUGCUUAUCGCACCGCAGAGUAGAGUGAUUCAGAGUUGAUACAGUCACUGAAAAACCGGUCCGAAGUAGCUUAAUUAGUAGGAGAUACCUUGCCGUAGGUAAGACUAGAAGUUCAUAUUCCAUCAAGAGUCAAAAGGACGUAGAAGGAGCUCUCCCUAGAAGUGAGAAAAGAGGUUCCCCCCGAUGCCUCCCAGGGGGCGGUGUACCGGUAAUGGGGUCCUAGUUCAAGUUCUUUCUUUUGGGAAAGAUUUUCAAUGAAAUCACCCACUACGCCGUAGAAGGCGCGAAGCUCUAACCUAGGGCAAGGUUCAAUCUAAUAUGAUCAUCAGAAAGUAAGGAGCGCAAAAAGAUUCUGAGUCAAGUCAAGAAUAGUACAAGUCAGAGAAGAAAGUGAGAACGAAGACGAUAAGAAAUUAGUUCUUUAUUUAUCAAAUUACUUGAUCAUAAGUACCGAAAAUGCUAUUUUGCAAGGGUGUCUCAGCCAUAGUAUACAGGAGUGCUUUGGAGUCCUUCGGACAGUCCAAACUGCAAGAAAGAAAGAAAAAGAACCUCAUCAAAUAUCAUCUAAUAGGAGAAUAGCUAUUUUAGUCAUUUAGAAGCCAAAAAUACGGGAAAUUGCAAAGUCUUCUCGGAUGACUCAAUAUUCUUUGAACCUAUCAUUUGCUUAACACAAGGGCGUAGUAGGAGAAGCGACUUAAGAGGAGCGCAAGGACGGACGUAGUAGGCUCAAUGCAAUAUGAGUUUAAGUAGGUAAGUUUCCGUAGGUUCGUUGCCGGUCCGAAGGAGCAGCGACUGUGAAGGAGCCCUUAGAUUAAUAGGUCCGGAGGUGAAAAGAAUAUUGACGGAGGACCUGUAAAUCAUAAACUCUUUCAUGAGUCAGAUCAAAAGGAAGACUUCCAGGUCGUAUGAUAAGAAGAGUCACCAUGAACCCCGGUAUGAUCUCUUGAGCGAGAACUCUAUGAGCGGGGGAAGGGAGAGGUUUCAUGAGUCACUUCCAGAGAGAAUGAGCGAAGCAGUUCGACUGACUUUUAGAAGGAGAGGGAAUGAAUGAAUAUGCCGCCCCCCUCUUCUUUAGUGGGUUCGGAAGCUACACUUUUGGAGUUCCAGAGACUACUUGACCGAUAAAGGGAAGAUCCUCAGCUGCGAGACGCCCACUCCUAGGUUAGGCACCGGUCCGUGGUAGCUUAAUUGUUGUGUGAGGGCAUAAAAAAGGGUUUAGUUACAUAGGCACAUAGCGACCUAUGAGAUGAGGCUUUCGGUGCGGCCGAGUCCCUAGUUAGUUCUACUUUCCUAUUUCAGUAGUUAGACAGUCUGAUAUCAUUCACGAUAUUUGCUAGCUUAUCGACUACUUUCUCAACAAAAAAAUAGCCACUACUUCCCGGGGUACUGCAAGAACGGCUGCCACUGACUCUUCCUUUUAAAGAGCAGCUUCACUUCCACCACUACGGCAAGAACCAUCGGUCUUUCCUUUACCGAGGGGUCACUUCUUUCCUUUCCAUUAUGGACACCAAGCUUCUUCGACUCCACAACGGGCGGCUUGCUUGGCUUCCUUCCUCUGUAGACGGAAAGAGCCCGUGGCUUUCUAAGCGUCUUAGUUUUCCUCCCUCUUCUAUGAUGACCGUGAUUGAGUGAUUUACCCUUCUCUUUCAUUCAGUCUCGCGCCUCUCCUUGAACUUCUGACUCUUACCUGUAGAAAUGUAAUACUAUGGCUGAGACAGGUCCGAAGGACUGAUUUAUUCCACUCAAGUCGGAGCUGCUUCGCAUCCUCUUUCUCUCUCGCUUUCCCGUACCCCUAUUCCUGUCCUGGAAAUAGCCCGAUCCGAAAAUCAUUGUUCGUGAGGCGCUGUAGAUUCUCUUGGUUCUGUCUCAUGAUCGAUCCUCUAUGGGAUUAGUCCAGAAAAACUUGGAAUUCCUUAUGUGACAACACAAGCUUACAAAGCAACCUCUGACAUCGGAAACCGCUACUUUUUCUGGAAAUUACUAUGGCUGAGACACCUGCGCGAGGAGAAAUACGGCUUCGGUCGAGCUUACUAAGUCAGACUUUCCUUUUCAUACUUCUUUUCUUCUACAGAGCUGACUCGCACCUUUCCACGAGGUCGUACGGAUGCCUUCUGACUCCGGACUCCGAGAUGUUGAGGAAAUUACAGACUAUGGCUGAGACACCUAUGGAAAGAAGACAAAUAAGAAGAAGAGAUCGGAACAAGAAAAUGAGUCAGUAGGCGUAGUAGGCUGAAUGAAUAUGAGUUUAAUCAGCCAGAAGAAGAAGACGAUUCUAUUCUCCAGACGAUUCGUCCGUAGUCCAUUUGCUUCUUCUUGUCUUAUAUAUAAUAUAAAUGCGCUUCGCUCCGCGCCUUGCCUCCAGUGGUCUUAUCGUCUUAUCUUUCUUUAUGCAAUUACUUGAGAAAUUCAUCAAAUCAGUACCGAAAAUCCCAGUUGAGUCACUUUUGCCUAUAGCUGUAUUAAUGCUUUCGAAAGACUUUCCAAAACAAAGAUACAGCAACAACUAAAAUCAGCCAUUUUUCAUCUAUUUACAUAUAUCAAAAAAAAAGUCACGAAAGUCUCAUUUUUCAAGAAAAAAGUAGUUUCAAUUGAAAACUAGGUCUUUCCUUUCGGUUCUGCUUUGCUUAACACAUGAAUUCAUUUAAGUAGGUGAAGUAGGUCUAAAACCUUUUAGUAGGUUUCCAUACAUUUGUUUUUGAUAAUCUUUCGAAAACAUUAAUAUAGGUAACGACUCUAAAAGGAGCCUACGGCAACUCCUCAUAUUACAUUGAGCCUUCGGUCUUAACGAUUUCUCAAGAUUAUCCAAAACAAAUGUAUCGGUCCGAAGAGUGGGUCGGCCGAUACUACAAUACAAGAGUGAGAGUCUCUCCUUUUAACCUCUUGUUAUUUGAUGUGGCUUUCGUCGCAUAUCCGCCGUUUAGAUAGCUUGAGCUAAUAAAAGGAUGGUUUUCCUCCUACCUAUCGGCCGAUUUGCGCUGCGCAUAUCCAAAAGAUAUGAUAAAGAAAAGUCAAAGAAAAGGAAAAGGCCGGCUCCAGCCUUAGUGGUUCCUUUGCUUUGGAACUCCUUCUUUCUUUCUUUCCUGCCUCAAUCUAGUGGUUCCUUUGCUUCGGAACUCCAUAUCAUACUAAAUGCUGAAAGCCUUCUUUCCAAAAGUGCCUUCCGGAACUGCUUGUCAUACUAAGCAUCAUGUUUAUAGGGAUGACCCACAAGAAGGCGGGUGCCUUUGUUGUUUACCUUUAUGAUUUCUUUUCUGUCAAAUAAUGCCAGCUUGGCUUUAAGGUUCGCCAGAACUCUUCUUUCUUCUUGUAUUUCUUCCUUUUGGAAGAUUCAAAGAAGAAAGAUUCGAGCGCCCUUUCGCUCGUGUCUCAGACAUAGUCUGUAAUCUCUGGUAAUCCCAGCGUUCACCCUUUAUCCUCCAAUGUGGAUGGGCCUCUGGAGGCUCCUUCAGCCAUUGGGGCGCAGGCUCCUUCUUUGGAACUGGAAUUCAGGACAGUUCAAGUAGAUUCAUGUGCAACUUAUCCAAGUCGUUUUCGGCGAUUUGGAGAGUCCGGAGGUGUUGACGCCUCCCCUAUUAGCCGUUUUUAGGUUUAGGUCGUCUUUCUGAGAAGGAUUUCUAAUCCUGGCCUGUUGCCAACUAAGAUUUGGCAAAGCCCAUAAAUCCUCAGGUUAGCGGCACUCUUAGUGCUGAUUCUAUCUUGCGGCUUCAAGUAGAUCUCAUUCAUUUGCAAGAAAUUCUUAUUAACGCCACCCCUGGGCAUCGAAGAUCCCCUUAUCUCUAUCCGAGACCCCCACGGAGCGGUACGAAUCAGUCUCUCCUCGACAAUCUCGUGUAGAUGGGAAAGGAAUUGUAGGGGUAUUAUCCUCUCGGCCCAGGGUCCGGUCUUCUUAAAAAGGUAGGGCAACUCCUUGCUUAUGAGAGUGAUGGCAACAUUCUUUUCUUUUAGAAAAACCUUUUCGUACUUGGCAUCGAGCCUGCCGUCCAAGAGUUUCAGAAGAUGACCCACGUCAAUAUUCUUUGAACCUGGCUUUUCCUCAGAAAGACUUUUUUCUGCUACGUGGUCCUGAAACUCGUCCAAUACCCAAAGGUCGAAGAAGUCGUUGGCGCCUGAAUAGUCUGACGGAAGAUACAAAGUAUGGCUGAGACACCCCCGUGGUAUAGACUUUGAUGGCCUUCUCCAGCAUGGUUAUAAAGAGUGUCUUCUGGGUACUGGGCUCCCCGUAGAUGUAGAUAAAGACUGGUCUCGAAAUGUAAUACUAUGGCUGAGACACCCACUACGCGGUUUACGGCGAGCCAAUCGAUAAAGAAAGAUUUUUCGGGAGGAGUAUAUAAUUGGAGUUCCCACGCUUUGCGUGCAGGAAAUGGAUAAACAACAAACGAGUCCGGAGGACCUGUCUCAGCCAUACUCUGUAAUUUCCUGCUUUCGCGAUUGAGGUGAUACCAAAGUUCUUGUACAACGUUAUGCUUCGCCCACAAAUGCCUUUGUAGCUCUGGGUCCUUUAGUACAUGGGACCAUUCUUUAUGGUUCCGUAGUCUAUUGAGAACGUCACCCAUUUUCAAGGGUCUCGCUUUCAGAAGGCCGGCCUUCUUUUUCGUACUGGCCAGGGCCUCUUCCAUAAUUUGUGGAAGUGAAAACUUCCCCCAUACAUAGGGUUCCUUGUCUUCUUUGGUUACAUAGUAAGACAGAGAUCCCCAUGCCUUGUUCAAGACGACCCAGCAUUGACUCCAUCUCCAUCAGUACUCUUUCUUUCUAAUGAGCUUUGCGGCAGUAUGCCGACUGGCAUUCUGAUUGAGUACGGCGACGUGGAAAUGGGCGGAGCCAUCUUUGUGCUUUUCCUUUGCUAUUACGAUGGCGGUGCAUUCAAAGAGCUCUCUAAUUCCGAAAUCAUAUGAGGAGUGACUUUAGCUCUGUCUUCUCUAUCGGCUUGAGAAAGAGUGAUAAGAAUGAACCUUCUCAAAUUAGAGGAUCAAUUUCUAACCAUCUUUCUAUCUAUCUUCAUUGUUGGAAGGUCGCAGCCUUCUUUCUCUCCCUUAUCGUAUAUAAGGGAAAGGGGCAGGGCGCCCGCCGCGUUUAGUAUACCGAAAAAAGUGGUUUUUUCUGACUUGAUGACCGUUAAUGACUAAUGAGGUACGGGUUCCUUAGCGUAAGGAGGACCCUUCCCUUCUCGGAUUCUGUCUUGGUGAGCUCUAGCUCUACCAACCCUGUGAUUCUGUCUUCCUUCCGUUGUCCCUUGUCUGCCUUCUUCCUUCCGUGUCGGGGAUUGAGAGGAAGGCUAUAGGGGCAGGCGUGCUAAGACUCCUUUCUAAGAGCGUACCUCGCCCUACGGGCUAACCCGCCUGGAAGGCUAACCCGAGGCCAAAGUACUGUAUCGUUGAAUAAAGAAUCAAGACCUCAUUCUCACACUUUGUAUUUUCUAUCUUUGUCUUGAUUAUCUCAGUCCUUUCGAUUCGAAAUCUAACUUCAAAGAAAGAAUAUUGACGAAACCGCUACGUGGGCCUGGUUGUUGUGGGUUUCCUCGCAUAUCGGUAGUUUUAGACAAUUUUCCCUAAGAAAAGGAUGGUUUUCUUCUCCAGAAACUACGGAUCUCCGCGUCGCGAAUCCGACGUGGGCUGUCGCGAAUCGGUAGUUUUUCCUUUUCCCCGAGAAUCCCAGAAGAGAAAAGAGAAAAGAAAGAAGAGAGAAUAAAAUCUCGCAUGCUCUUAUGAGGGGGGUGGCUCACCCCCGUCCCCUCAAUGCUUGUUUCCGUCUUGCUGCCCCUUGUUUCUGGGGGGCAGUCGCCCGCACCCGUAGUACCUACCCAUCCGUCGUGUUUUGGAAAGGCUUGCCUAAGCCUAAAGCUAAAGUCAGUUUUUGUGAAUGCUUAGGCCGCCUAAAGGGCGCCCCUCUCUUCUCCUCUUAUGCAUGCUCAUGCUCAUAGCCUACUAGAAGGCGGGUCCCCUGGUUUUCUUGUUCAUCAGUGAAUUUCUCAUAAAGGCUCUCCCGCUCCGUGGGGCGUUCCAUGCUUUCUUUCUCUUCAAGUAUUUGGUCUUCCCGACAGAUGAUAAGAAUUAUUAUAGGAGCCCCCUUUCCUUGUUUUCUUUUCAGAAAUAGGGGCCAUUGUAUGUAAUCCCAGCAUUGCCCCUCUAGUCUCCUGUGGUUGUAGAACAACCCCCCUCGGGGCUCUUUGUCUUUCUCUUCCGGGUUCCUCUUUGGAACAGGAAUUAGGGAAAGCUCCAGCGGGUUCAUUUGCAACUUAUCCAAAUCGUCUUCGUCGAUUCGUAGAUAAAGAGCCCUCUCGCUUUCAUCCUUCUUUCUAAUGGCAAUGUGGAAGCUCGGCUCGUCUCCGAGCAAGAUUUGGCAAAGCCCAUAAACGUUCAGGUCAGGGGCGCUAGGAGUCGUGAUUAUAUUCUUCUCCAAGUAGAACUCAUUGACUUGUAAGAAAUUGUUAUGAAUAGGUAGCCACCCCUGGGCAUCGAAGAAGCCCGCCCUUAUCUCUAUCCGAGACCAUAAAGUCAGAAUCAGUCUCUCCUCUACAAUCUUGUGUAGAUGGGAACGGAAUUGUAGAGGUAUGAUCCUUUCGGCCCAGGGCCCUCUUUUUUGAAAAAGAUAGGGUCAAAGAAUAUUGACUUGCCCAUGAGAAUGAUUGGAACAUUCUUUUCUUUGCUGGGCUCCCCAUAGAUAAAGAGUUGUCUGGUCUUUAUCGGCCUUGUAGCGCCCACUACGCGGUUUACCGCGAGCCAAUCAAGGAGGAAGUCUUUCUCCCCUAAGUCCUCCGGACUAUAUUAUAUAAAGGGUGUUUCCAUCCUUGGCGUGCCCAUAGGUAAUUGGCAAUCCCCUCCAUGAGUGUAGUUUCCCUCUUCCGCAAGCUCUGGAGGUCAUACCAGAGUUGCUUUAUAACGUGAUACCUCCCCCAAAGAUUUUUUUUUAGCUCUGGGGCCACCGCUCAAAAUCCCAUCUAUUUUAGAGGGUUCCCCUCUUAUACUCUGGGACAAGGCCUUUCUCUUUGUACUCGCCCGGGCCUCCUCCAUUAUUUGUGUAAGUGAGAACCUUCCCCAGACAUAGGGAUUCUUGUCCUCCUUGGUGACGUAGUAAGAAAGGGACCCCCAUGCCUUGUUCAAGACGACCCAGCACUGACUGCCUUCCCAUUCUGGGAAUGCGCCCCUAAUGAGUUUUGCGGCAUUGUACCGAGCCGCAUUCUCAUGAAAUAGAGCAAGAUGGAAGUGUGCCGAGUCAUCCUUGUGCUUUUCCUUAGCUAUUACGAUGGCGGAGCACUUAAAGUCUGAGUCUCUCCGAAAUCAUAUGAGGAGUGACUUUAGCUCUCUCUCCUCUAUCGGCUUGAGACAGAGUGAUAAGAAUUCAUCUUCUCAAAUUAGAACAGCUACUUAGAAUCAUCUUUGCUUUUCUUUCUUUUGGAGGACGUAAUAUUGCCUCCUUCUUUCUCUCCCUUAUUUGUCAAGGGAAAGAAAGGGGCAGGGCGCCUGCCACUUUCAAUAUACCGAAAAAACGUAGUAGUUUUAUGACUUGAUGACCGUUAAUGACUGGUGGUACGGGGUUCCUUCCCCUAAGUAACCUCUUCUUCUUUCUUUCUUCUUUAGGUGAGCUCCGGGCUCUCUAGAACCAACCCGAAGGUGAGCUCUGCGCUCUCUAGCAACUCUAGCAAACGGAAGCUCCGUUCAAGGAGCGGAGCCAUAUACCACAACCUGAUGACGCGUAACAGAGGGGCAGUUCAGUAGAGAAAAGUUCAAAAGUAAGCUAACAAGAGUGAAUCUUUCCUUCUUUCUCUCUCUCUCCCUAGUAGUCGGUAGGAUCUACCGGCUGCCGGGUUUGGGGCUUUCCUUCCUAGGAAGGGAAUGCGCCAAAGACCUCCUCCUGCCUGUCCGAACUCACCUCUUCUUCUUUCUUCCUUUUCCUCUUUCCUGUCCGUAAAAAACCUGCAGCUUGGGCUGCCCGUCUUCUUCCUUCGGUCCGUUGUCCCUUGUCUGCCUUCUUCCUUCCACGUAGGGGAGUCAGAGGAAGGCUACAGGGGAAGACAAGAGGGAAGGGAGUCUAAGACCGCUGGAGGGUACCCCGCCUGGAAGGCUAACCCGCCUGGAAGGCUAACCCGGCUGGAGGCCUAAAGCAGUUGUCCUUGUUGCUGUCCGGCUUCCUUGCUAGCAAGCCAAUGAGGGAAGAAUUCAUUCUUCUCACUUCGUAUUUUGGAUCGGUGUCUUUAUUCUAUGUAAUUGAUUGAUGAAAUUAUUGGACACUAAUGAGAGACCUCCUCUGCUUUCGAAAUCUAACUUCAAUGUAACCAUAUUGACGAAACCCACAUCAAAUAACAACGAUAAUGCUUCCAUUUCCGAUCUCGGAAGUAGUAUAUUUCAGGUUGGAGGAGCUUAACCGGAGGCAAGGUGAAAUGUAAUAAUCUAAGACUGAAUAGGUUCCAUAAGACAGGGAUAUUGUAGGUCUUGAUGAUGACUCAGAUUAUCCAAAACAAAUGUAUCGUCCGCUUUAGAGUCCGAACUUCACUAUUUUCAGGAUCAAAGAAUUUGAGAAAUCCAUAUUAAUGAAUUAGGCAAGGAGCAAAGAAUUUUCGAGUUUCUUCUUUCAUUCUCGUUAAUGAGUGAAUUGUGCUAGUUCGAUCUUUGAUCAUGCAUUUCAUGGUUUGAUUCUGUCUUCAUGAGAAGAUUCAGUCAGUGAUCCACGUACGAAGCAGAAGCAACCUUCACCUCCGAGAGUUGGUAGUUCAAGGAAGAAGAAAGCCUAUCCGUAGGACCAGUCUCUGAAACAAGGAGAAUUGAAUGAGUCCUCCGGACCUGUCCGGAGUUGCAAAAUAGAAUCUUUCUUCGACCUCCUACUCCGCCUCUCCUUCUUAGUCGAGCUGCUUCGCACCUGAGCUUCAUUUUGGACUCCUCUCAGUCGAGCUAUUGCUUGAGGCUAGCUUCAUUUUGGACUCCUCUGCCCGCAGCUUUCGCCUUUCUCCUCAACGUCUAUCAACUUUGUCCCUCUUUCAAUAUGGUCUCCAUGGUCUCCUCUACCGCGUAGUGGGCUUUCCGACUCCCGACUCAAGACGCUUCCUUUCUAAUCUAAGCUGCAAGGGGGCCUAACCCAAGAUUUCUUGUUAUAGGAGCCUCGUCUAGCUUCUGCUUUCUCUUAUGCUUCCUUUUGACCUUCCUUCUUCCGAAACUGGGACAGAUGACUAUCCAAUCCCUAUCGAUGGGGUUCCUCUCAGAGUGCUGCCAUAGGGGGCCUCCUAUCCUCUUCAGUCUAGUUCCUUUGCUCCUAUCCGAUCCCGGUCCUUCUACUAAGUGGAGUGAUUUUCCCCUCAAUUCCUCUCCCUACGGUCGAGUCACUUACGUGCCUCCCCCUUUCUUUCCCUACGGUCAAGUGACUUCGCUUAAUCUUGGACUCUAUCUCCUUAAGAGUCAGUCGAUCUUUGUAGAACCUACGGUCUUUUCACUUACGUGCCUCAACCUCAAGUUAUGACUCUUCCUGCCCUGGGCGAUGGAGUGCCCUUCGGGCUUCAAGCCUUUUCUUUGAAGAAUGCCAUCCCAUCCGAUCAUGACUCAGUCUCCCUAAAGAGAGAAUGAAAGGACGAGGGAUGACUCCCACUACGCGGUCUCUUCUUCUGAAAUGGAAAGAUAGUUCACCCGAUCGAGAGAGAUUUCCCGCAGCAACCUCCUAUCCGUCGCUAUCAGUUAGUCUGUAUAGUUCACUCUAUCCUUAUCCUAUUCAGAGUCCUUUAUAUGCUUUUCAGAGGGUUCUGUCUCUACCUAUGCCAUAGGUAAUAGUAUAGGGCGGCUAUCUAUUUUGGAUCUUAUGUGCUGGUACGGGAAAGUGCUGUACAGGUAGUAUAUGAAAAUGCUGGAAGACUUUCUCAAGUCUUUGACUUUGAUUGAGUAUAGGCGUCAACAAUUGGACAGGAUCACAGAACUAUACUUCUCCAUCUACUUUUUGAAUGAUAAGAGCCAAUCUUGUCACAGGAAAACUCUAUCUAUUUCCUAACAGCUACAUAGUCACUCAUACAUUAGUCUGUCAGCAUAGUAGUUACUCGACUGACAGAGAUACGAUUUACCUUAAAGAAGUGCAGAAAGAGUAUAAGCAAGCUAAAAUACACUCUUUGGCAAGGAUAAGGAAAUGGAUAUUACAAUAUUGAAAGACAGUUCAUCUUGACUCACUGAAAGGCAGUCUUUUAAUAGAAUAUGGAAAGGUUCUGGCGCAUCAACUGGAAAGGAAGUAGCUUGUGCUUGGCGUACUCUAAGCUCCGAAGCGGAUCUUCGAUUGAAUUCACCUCUUCAACUCGUUCAAGCAAGUUUCACUAAUGGCCGAAGUCAAGUCCUUCUUCGCGCCCAGACGGACCCCCUCGAUUCUUUGUUGCGGGAAUCAGGCUGGAAUCUCUCUCUCCCUAGCCCUAGGAUAGAAUGUGAUCUCUUUCUCUCCACUCCCCCUCCCUUCCGUCCUCUCUUCUCAGAUUUCUUUGACAUAACAUAGAAGGCAAUCUCCACCAUGUACACAAGAGCAAGCAGAGCGAAGUACGACCGAGAAGAAAAGAGAAGACCAGAAAAAGGUUAUGAAAGAGACUAUCGACCAAUAAGGAUAGAAGCCUGAGAACGAGAAAGAUAAAGAAAGGGGAAGGUUAUUGCGAGAUCGUAUAGCAAAGCAGGACCAGAGGAGAGGGUCGGAAGGAGCUCGAGUUUAGUUGCAGAGGGUCGGAGCUCUUCUCAGUUUCAGUUGAAUAAACCCUUGCACAUGCAAACUCUGUUCCUAGAGAUAGGGUAUAAAUAUGCUCCUCCGGUCCGGAGGGAGAGGUUAUUCAAUAUACCGAGUUGGAUGGAUCGGAUUAUGAGUGUUGAGGGAAUUGUUAUCAUACUCUAAUCUGAGUUCUCAUCAUCAGUCUUCUUGACAAAGAAUCAGAGGCGCGUAUUCUCGGCAGAAGAAAGAGUUCAAAGAGUCCGCAUCCCUACAGCGAGACAAGAAAAGGAAUAAGUGCUGUUGCAGUGAGUAAAAGAUCUUUCAUUCUCAGUUGGAGAAGGUUAGCAGCUUCUCUCCUCGAUUCAGGUACGGCUCCCUGGUAUGCUAGGCUGAUGGAGACUUUGGAAGCUCAUUCUCUGACUUGUCCGGGUGGAGCACCCUAUAACCGAUUGAGGUUUCUCAUUCACUUGUCCAAGUCUUCCGCUUAUUAUGACCCGAAUGCUUGUCGGUGGGUGGGGAAGUGAGUGUUGCCGAUCUUCUUCGGUUUCUGUAGUGGAUUGAUAGCUUUUCAGCUAAGAUUCUGUAAUUGUUAGUAGUUUCACGAGUAGGAUAGAUCGACGGAGAACUCAGACUAAGAGUUCUCAAAACAGCUUCGUGUACAAGAGAAUUAGGCUCAUACAGGACGGACAAACUCCCCUUCAUCUGCAGACAAGAAUCAGUUAAUAUGGAUAAACAAGUCCCAUAACAAGAUAAUAUGGAUAACCAAAUCAGUCCAAAGUCUGCAGCUUUAAGUGGUUAUUAUAUGGACCGGCUGGAUCGUCGGCAGCAAGAACUCAGAGUCAUGAUCGGCCGGAUCGGAGGUAUUAAGUUUACCAGAUUGAGUUCGACAGGUAACUUGAGGAAUAGGGGAAGAAGUUCCAACAAGAGGAGAAAGGGGAGAAAGCAAGAGCUAUUCGGGUCUUUCAGUUCGUAGGACGCAUGAAAAGAAAUAGGAAUGAGACCGGCCGGGCCGAGUCGAAUCGGGUAGGGUCUGUCUUGAGUUCUUCCCCUCUUCCAAUAGGGAGAAGAGCUUCAACUAUUAAUUCUGAGUUCUUUCCUUAUUCCCUUUAAUGAGUCACUGAAAGAGGAAGCGAUACCAGAGGGGAUAGGAUCGAAUAUCCUUUUCCAUCAGGAUCGGUUUCCGCUUGACCUCGGAACAAUGUAAUUGAGUCCUUUACCGAGUUCACGGUAUUCCGAAUGAGAGAGAACAAGAGGCAGCUAGAACUCAAUAGGAGUAUUCGAAAGGAUAUGCUUUAUUACUUAAAGACCCUGAAGAGUAUGAGUCAUCUUUCUCAGUUUCCGUAUCGGAAAGGUAUGAAUAUGCUCCCACGUAGCGGUAGAGGUGUGAACCAGCACGCGAACUCUGAUUAUCAAGGUCGAAGGGUCUUUCCUUCGUUAUGAUGGAAUUCUUAGAAGAAGAAGUGAUCUUUCAUGAGUAUGAUCAGCCCACGGAGCGGGAAUUCUUAUGCAAUAGACCGAGAAUACGAGGUCAGAAGACAGAGGAAUGAGAAAGAGGCUCUCCCGGCCGAGUCUCAGAACUCUUCUACUUAGCCGAUAGGCAUCGGAAUCUUUUUAUCCCGACGGAUAGGGUAGGUAGGUUGCUGCUACGUUGGGAGAUGAGGAGGAAUCCUCUGACCUUGGGGAGGCCCACUACGCGGUUAUCAGUUAGUAUGAUAUGUUUCCGAGUUGUAGAAGCAAGCUAGAAUACGAGACUUCCCACUACGCGGUAAGACCAAGACCUCAUUCUAUCUUUCAGUGAAUAGGGGGUUAGGAUGUGGCUCCUCGACCGAAAGGUCUUAUGCUUUACAAGUCUUCUUUCGUAAGAGUCAGUCGCUGUGGAACUUCAAUCGGCAUCGGAAUGAGACCGAUCGGCCGAGUUGGAGCAGCUUUACCUAGUAGGAUGAGAUCUUGUCCCAUUUCUUCAGAGGAAAAAUGAGAUAGAUCUUGAAUCAGAGAAAAAGGGGUUAGAUAGAGAUAGGCUUUCCCAAUAGAGAGUUGGGCCGGGGAAGAGUUCUUCUUGAGUCAGCUAGGUGCGAAGCCACUCGACGAAGGAUAGGAUAGAAGCUGCGAGAAAGAGUUCUAAGAUCUCAAGGAUAGAAGAAGCUCUCCCGCUCCGUGGGGGGCGCAGAUCAAGGGAAGAAGCGCAGAAGUAGUCCCGCGAAUGAAAUAAUCUGAUAUAAGAAAUUGAAAAAGAAGAAAUUCAGAACAAAUAUCGGUAGUUCUUGCUUUCUCUCUGAAUCUUCCUCUUCGAAAGAAGAACCUACGGCAAGGCGCCAUUGAAUCAGACUAGGGACAAACUCCCCCGAUCGACAGGGCUAAUCAGCCUCCCUCUAAGUUCUUUCUACUACUACAAUAGCCUCAGUCUCAUGACUAUGCUUUCCCCUUUUCUGAAUAUCGUACCGAACCCAAAGUUGAGACCACCCACUCCGCGGUUGAUUCGCAGUGGCUUGUCUUGUUUGUGUCGUAGUUGUUCAAGCAAAGCGCUUAGAUUGUUAACUCAUAUAACGAAAUAAUCUAUAUAAUGAGAAAAGAUUUCCCAUACCGAACCGAAGAGAAGCAUUCCAAAGAACUGAGAUCGGAAAGUGGACUAAGCAAAGUCGACACGAUGUACAAAGUAACUCGACCCCAAACCUAAGGCAGAGGGACUAGCUAGGGCCGGGCCCCAUUCCAUCGACCGCGGUGAAGGAAUUAUGCCCGAUCGGGGCAUAUGGUUUGACAACUACGAAAGAAAGCGGAAAUCUUCUUUGAACCUGGGUUUCUUAUAUAGAAAAGACUACCCGUCGGACCCUGACAUUCGCACUAAACAAUGGCGUCAAAGAGGCAAGGGGAAGAGUGAAUGGGAUCGACCGGAUAGGAAGAAAGAAAGCUCCCUGAGUCUGACUUAGUUAGUUGGGGGGUCAGUCCCAGUUGCAAGUAAGAUAGGAUAAGACCGACGAUGCAUAGCCACUUGUUCAUUCUACAAUCCAUGAAAUUGAGAAAAAAGGCUUGAUAUUAGCCUGGGGCUAGAGAUCUUCCUUACUCCCGAAACGACUCAAGAGAUCCAGCAACCACUCCUUCAACUGGUCCGAAGGACUUCUUUAUGGAACUUAAGCUUGUUGUAGGCUAUACGAGUUGAUUGCAUUUUCAAAGCAAAUGCUAAUCCUUGUUCAUUGAUUUCUCACUUGGCUAAUUCCCGGAUGAAUACCAAAGGUUUGAGUCCAUUUUUGAACAUCUUUUCCCGUUCGGAGGCAAACUAAGCUGCUUAAGCCACGGGAGAGUCAUAUUAUGGAUGGGGAUCCAGCGGACCUGGUUGAAGGAGCCGUAGUUGCUGUCCUUGCUUUUGCUGCUAUCUCUCUUCCCUAACGCCGGAUUUCAUCCUUUUAUUUCAUUGAUUUAUGUGCACCCUACUAUUCAUGGGAAUAAUGGACUCAUUCCUUGAUGGAGGCAUCUGAGUUGUUGUUAGUUCUACUAAUCGGUUACCUGACGGGAAAUACCCCACGUAGCGGUAACCUAGAACCUAAAAUAAAUACGAAAGCCUAGCCUCCAGAAAGAUAAAGUAGCGCUCGGGGAAUAGGUUUCUUUCCGUGUUCAAGGUCUUAAAAAGGGUAAGGCCUUUCCUUAUUCAAUCAGUCUGAACAAGUUUGAGUUCCAUGAAGCUACUUUAUUAAUGGGGUGAUGAGACGGGGUUAGUUAGGCUAGAAAGGAGAGGUGCGGCGAGGGUAGAACGAUUGGAUUGACCCCUUGAGGCAUCGGUUCUUGAGCCCGUUGAGGCGCAAAGAAUAUUGCGAGACCGGAGGAGAGGCAUGAAAUGGCUCGACUGAAAGGAGAGGCAUGAAAUGGCUCGACUGAAAGGAGAGGCAUGAAAUGGCUCGACUGAAAGGAGAGGCAUGAAAUGGCUCGACUGAAAGGAGAGGCAUGAAAUGGCUCGACUGAAAGGAGAGGCAUCCCUUUCUCUUUCAUCUCUUUCCGGAAGAAGAAGAGAAAUCGGAAACCUACCUAAUAAGGUGCCUCAGUCGGAGUCAGUGGGGCACUUCAGCAGUGAGUAUUCCCUCUUGAGUCAAGCAAGAAUGCUUAGCCCGAUGCAUCAAGAAGAAGGGAAGAUCUAAGUAGUAUCUUCGCCGAAAGGAAUUUGUCUCCACUAGCCUCAUUCUUUAGGUUAGGAUGCGACCGAGUAAGUAGGGUUCAAGAGGAAGACUAAGCAAGAGAAAUUAUGGAUAGGAUAGAUCAGUUUCAUAGGUGACGAGGGAGCGCUAUGAUGAUCGACCGAGUGGGAGAGGGGAGAUUUUUGCAAGAAACCGCGGAAAAGCAGCUGCCAUGGGUCUUCGGUCAACGAGCCCAAUGUUCAAAGGGGAGAUUUUUCCAUCAGAAAUCCGCUAAAUCAGAGAAGUAGGAAUCCGCUACCUUGUUGGCAGCUUUCCCUAAGGGGCCGAAGCACGUAAUCGCCGGCAAUGAAUUUGACAACAGGGGCUACUUUUAUCUAGCCAGAAAGCAGAGGAAGUAUUAUCCGUCAAAUAGGUUAUGUUCUACUUCUCAUAGAAAUAAGUAGUCUUUUCAUCUGAAAUCAGUACUCUCCUCGACUUAUCCACCUGAAAAAGGCAAAGAAAGAAGAAGAAGACAUUAGGCAAUACUCUCUAUCUCUAUAGAAAAGAACUUUGACUUAGCUAUUUAAUAAUAGGUCUUUCUCAAUUCAUUCAGCCUUUCUUUCUCUCUGAAUUGAAUGCGCCUCAAACCUUGUUCAUUGACUCCUUCUUAGUCGAGCUGCUUCGCACCUUUCAGUCGUCCAGAGGCUCAAAGAAGAUUUCGAGAAAGAUUAGACUUGAAAUUCAGAUCCUAAAAUAGUGGGACUUCUUUAUAGGACCGGUUUUUAGUAGGUUUGGAAAGAGGAAGCCUAGGGAGAAGGAGAAAAGUGAUCUUCUGCGUCUUAUUUGAGAGAUAUGGUCUUGCUUGGGAUUGCAAUAUAUCUAAUCUCUAAGAGAGAUGUUAUAGAAUUAGUUAGACUUCUCAGUUGAUACUAGUUGUUGUUUACAAAAAUUCUUGAUAGAGCUUCAAUCUCUCCCAUGGGGCUUGGUCUAAGCCUGUCAAUCCAGUAGGCCAGAAAGGUUCCGCGAGAAGUCUUCCUCUCUAUCAGCCGCAUUUACAAUGCUUGCCUUUUAUCCGCCCACUUCCCCUAUUGCUGAGAGUGCUUACCCUAUUUGUCUCUUUCUUCUUCUCAAAUACUUUGAGCCUUUAGUAGGACCUUCUUUCUUUAGAGAAAGGAGCCCUUCCAGAAAACCAAGAAAAAGAGUAUAGGUACCAUUCUUUGACGACCCGUUCUCGAUGACCACUCCCUUGCUUAGGGCUCGGUAUGCGGUAAAAAAGGCUUUCUGACCGUGAAUGGGAGCUUAUCUCAUUCCUCCAGGGCGAGUGUAAGAAAAAGAAAGCUGAAAAUGCUAGCUUCAUUCCGUUAAAAGAGCAGGACAUCUUGUGUAGGCUUGCAAACAUGGGCUGGGUUCCUUCCUCAAAAUAGGCAAGACUGGGGAAGGGCUUGCUUGUCUUCUUUAAUUCUUCUUUAGAGUAGAAAAAGUAAUUAACCAACUUCUCUGGUAAGAUCUCAGUCGAUGCCAAGCAUGAGACCUCGCAUCAUCGUUGAUCCGCUCUUUCUUACUCAGCUGUAAGAAGACAAUAGGAUCGGAACCGUGAACUGGUGAAUAGCUUUCUUGAAGAGCCAGGGGUUUCGGCCGGUUUUACCUACUAUUGGAUUUGAACCAAUGACUCUCGCCGUAUGAAAGCGAUACUCUAACCGCUGAGUUAAGUAGGUCAAGCCUCAUUUGAUCAGUACCCUAGGGACCUCUCUAUCUUUUAGUGGAUAAACAAGGCGCAAAGAAUAUUGCAAAGGUCCAGAUGAAAAAUAGCAUUAUUUCUCUUUCUGGCUUAGCAAUCAAUGUUCUUGGUAGGCUUAAACGCAUCUCUCUUUCAAUAGGUUUCGCUUCGUCGCCAACAGCAAGCGCGUACCCUCCAGGGUGAGAUCUGAGAUCGUAGACAAAUCAGAUUAUUUAUGUAAUUCGUCGAUGAACCCACGUAGCGUCAAUAUUCUUUGAACCGCGGAGUGGGUGUCCCCUACAGCUUCGCUACUGAAGUAAGGAAAAGCCUCUAUCUAUGUCGCCCUCUUGCAUGUGAUUGGUCAUCAAGGGAAGCGGUCCAGGCAGUCCGUGUUUUCGUCAUCUCAGGUCCAGAAAUUUCUUUGAAAGAGGAGUUCAGUCGCGCGGAUAGAGGAGUUCACCCUCAAUACAAGCGAGAAAGGGAGAAGGAAUGGCUCAGGAAUCGACUGGUUCCGAGCGGACUUGUGGAGCUGCUGCUUGGAUUAUCUCCGAAUAAUCUCCGCCGUCUUAGGAAAUGAUUGAACUUCAAAGUCAAAGACGGAUGCCGCCGCUGCGAGGCGAAGGAGAUGCAUUUCUGGUCUUGCGGUGCACUCAUUCCCCUUACGAGAAUGAAAAACCAGCUCGACUCGAGACCAAGACUCCUUACAACUCGCACCAAUAGCGGGAGGCCGGAGAUUGAUUUCAAAGGCAGCCCAGCCCCUUUAGUGAUUGUGAUUAAGAGCACACAGCUUACCUACUCAAUCUCAUUUGACGCGAAGCAAAAAAAAAAGGGGAACCCUUCCUUCCCAGCUCAGCCGCUCCUCCCCCCCUAGCCGCCAUUGCUUUAAUGGCGAAGGACUAUUCGCUAUUCUUAAGGGCUGAUAGUUGGUCCGGCGGAAAAGGAUCAGUCGUCCGUCUCUUAGUGAUACGUGAAUUGCUCAGUAGUGCUUCGCCACUACCGUAGCUGGCGGAAAUAGCUUAAUGGUAGAGCAUAGCCUUGCCAAGGCUGAGGCCCACGGAGCGGUCGUCAAACUUUUCACGCAAUAUUCUUUCUCUCAAAUUUCAUUGAUCCUUAGGCUCCAGUCCGAAGGACAGACAGGUUAAUAUGGAUAGGACUGAGGACGGGAUUUCUCAAUAUUCUUUGCGCCUUUCUUCUUUCUCAGGAGCGGAAUAAAGAAUAGACCUCUCAGUAUCCGUCCGUAGGACUAUCCAUUAGAAAAGUUUUCACAAACUAUGUGAAUUUCGAAAAUCAAAUAGGACAAUGCCUUGCUAUUUCCCGGCUUUUUUGCUUCUAAAUAGGACUAAAUCGAAUAUAUAUAUCUAACGAAAAUUGUCUAAUUUUGACUGAUUUUUCAUGAUUUCUUGCUACUUCCCUAUGGGCAAAACCUAGCAAAAUCAUGUAUUUCCCUCCGUCUUCAAUCUAGCAGAUUAAUCUGAAAUCUAGCAGAUUCAUAAUGAUUCUUGAAUUCGAGUUAUGAAAUCAUAAUGAUUCUUUCAUUCUCGUUAAUGAGCUUCUUUUCUUUGCGCCUGGACCUUUCUUUUUGGAGCUUUUCUUUAUUAGUUUAGCUCAAUUAAUCUUCACCUCAACUGGGACCAGAUCCUCUUUAUUUGCUUCUUCCUCAUACUCAAGAUAAGCGAGCAGCUCUUUCGCAAUAUUCUUUGCGCCUCCCCCACUCCAAGAAAGAGAUAAUACCGCCGCCUCUCCUUUCAGUCGAGCCUCACCUGCCUGCUCGUAAACUGAUCAUUAAUGAGAAUGGAGAUUUCAGGUACUUCUGGAUGGAACAAGACUUCUGACUCGUACUGGUAUUCAUGAAAGGACGACGGAUUCCCCGGUACAGGAAAGCUGCUUACAACUUCUUCUUCAACGGCAACUGAUACGGAUGAAAGAGGUGGGGUUCUUCGAGUCGAGCUGCUUCUAACCUCUCCUCUCGCUUACUCUUCCUUCCUCUCUCUCGCUACUUUGUGCCUCUGACUUUGGUCGAGCUUGUGCCUCUUAGGCCAGGCCCACUACGCGGUCUCGCUUUCAGUUAGAAAGUCUUAUGAAUUCAUACCUUUCCAAUCCAAGACUUAUGAGAAGAACCUCACUUCCUUUCGUACUCUGACUCAUACUCAGUCUUUUAUGCAAGCCUAUCUCCCCUACAAGCAAAAGAAGCAUAUUUUCAAUCCUCGGUCGAGCAGCCCCACUCCCAAGAACCGCUACGUGGGCUUCUUAGAUGAGACGGAUGUAGAGCCAACUCUGCUGCUUCAACUGGUCCCGCCCGCUGGCUGCUUUGAUAAUUCAGAGUUUUCUAGCGCUUGAGCUUUCUUCUCGUUCUCAACUUCAUUCCUCAACGGGUCUCGCACAAGACCCCUUUAUUUAUGGAUGUUCAUUGAGCCUUGGGUCUCGCUACUUUUCCUAAUAGGUCAACUCGCUUACUCAGGAAAGAGAUGAAAGAGCAGUUCCUUCCUAUUCUCAUUCCCUUGCUUAUUACUCAGACUCUGCCGACACUUUCACUGAAAGAGAUGAAACUGAGAACAGCUCCGACCCGCGGCAAACUUCUUCUGGGAUCGCUGAUGGGACCUAUUCAUACUUCCCUUCUCCUUUGCUGCCGAUUCCCCUGCCCCUCGUUCACUCUAUCGAGCCGUCAACUCCUCCUCCGCCUCUGCCUUCUUAUCUUUUUUAGAAGGAGUCUUGUCCUCCCCUUUUCUCUGUCUCGUGUACUAAGAUAGAUGAUUCAACCUCUGCCCCUAAUAUUCAUACUAAGAGCCUUCCCAGUCGUACAUACGCAAUUUGAGACCGAACCCUCAUUCAUCUAUUUUGGAAAAGGGGUAUCAAAAUACCAUCUAUACUCCGGGACAUUACAUUAAGGAUCUCUGAAAGGCGAAGAUUAAUUGAGUCGACUGAGUUGGAGAAGGAGAGUGGGAUCCAUCUCGAUCUUAGAUCUCCUGUUGAGGUAGGUUAGAGACUCUUUGCCUCGAAAUAAGGUGUACUCAUUCCGAUCCCUUAUUGUCUCGUCCGGAUACUCAAAGAAUGGGGGCGUCCUCAGGAGGCAAGACUUUAGACUUAGGGAAGAGUUCCUGAUAUAAGCGACCACGGAAGGAGGAACCAUAACCCCAAGUUCAAAAGAUAGGGCCAAGACAGCGUGAUUAGACGAUGCGAAGGCCAGCAUCACAAUGAGUCCUUUUGCUCUUCUGGGCAAGUGAAAAGAGGAAUGCGCCUCAGUCAGAGGGUUACCCCAAAUGGCACUCGCCUUUCCAAAGACCAGAUUCUCAUGAGCGCGCGAAGCGGGCAAGGGAAAAUAGGGAUGAGUCCUUAUGAGACGCUUCCCUACCUCCUUCUUCUUCCUUCUUCGAGCGCGCAUGAUAGAGAAAAUCAAAUCCAUGUACGGAGAACCGAGAAGCGCUUCGGUCAUGUACGGACUUCUUCUUUGAGCUAGUUGAAAUUUGAUGAGGAUCCCAGAGGGCCAAAUUGCUUCAGCCGUAGGAUUUUCCCUCCUGGUAAGGGCCUUGAUUCUGAUUAUUGGUCCUAGUCCACUCGGCUUACUUCUUUUCCGCGGUAUGGAUAUAGCUAUCGUUGACGCUGAGAGAGAGCAACUCUUUUCAGGGACCACCCCCCCCCGACCCUUAUCGCACCUCUCGUAUGACCUCCUUAUGUGGGUUCCUUACCCUCUUCUUUCAGCUCCCAGCGCUACGCACAUGUCGCCUACUCUCAGGAACCGGCUAGCCUUCAGACCAAGACCUUGCUUAUUCCACUUGGAGUAUCUUGGCCCACCGAUCCCAUGCCAUCGAAUGCGACCAUUCAACCGAACUAGGUCCGAUUGCGCCAUUAUAGCGGUGCUAAAAAGUUAUGAAAUCUUCGUCCAUUCUCUGGGUUAAUAUGGAUAGUCAUCUGGACCCCUUAUAAUUGGGCACCGCGGAGUGGGGACGCAUUCGAUAGCAUGCUCUCUGGCCGUAUGUAUUCGUUUUGCACGGUCGUGGGUAGUCGCUAGUUCGUCUUAGUAUGGGCCCAAACAUCCAUAUCUGAGUAUGCUAGCUGGUCACACAGGCAGUGCCUUCUUCUAUCUAACUGAACGGUAAACCGGGAGGGCGCAGCCCCUCCCUAACCCCUUUUUGGACACGAUGACAUAACCUCCCUUUUAAGUAAGCGGCCUAAGGCCUACCACUUACCUGAAAGGGCCGAAAGUUUGCCCCAGGCCCGAAGGUUGGAAUUGACCCCCCAGUCGCUUCAAAACCUGUACCUCCCGCUUGAUCUUCCUUUCUCAUGCCAUCCCCGGAUCCAGCGAGUGGGCCCAAAAGUUCAGACCCCUAGACUCCACCUUUUCGAUUAUCUCUGAGAUGGUCAGAGCCUCGGUGACACCCAUCCCAGUGGGACUCAAACUCCCUGAGACCGGCCUUCCUGGGUGGAUUCCUUAGAUGCCAUCCUCGGGUACUGCAAUGAGGAGUAUUGCUUCGGUACAAGUUUAGCGCGACAACUAAAUUGAGGGCAGUCGAAUGCUCACUGCUUACUUACGAUAAUCGAGAAAUCGAGAAAAUCAAUGGGAUUUCUUUCUUUUGGGGAAAGCUCUUGAGUUCUGUAAGAGGAAACCGCCUCUAAGAAGCAGAAGAUUGUCUUUGUAUUGAGAGCCCAAAAAGAAUUCGCAAAAUGGGCGUGUUUCCGCUCCGCUUUCCUACGCCUUUAUAUAAGGGGUCGGGACUCCUAAUCCUAGGCCUUGAUUCCAUUCCCCUUGGAGGAGAGGGAAAUAGGGACUAGAUCCCAGGGACAGGAUAAUCAGGACCUCCUUAUUCCUAAAAGGGCCGAAGCACGUAAUCGCCGGCCGAUUCGCCGACAAAGACAAAGAAAAGAAGAAUUUCAGUCCGAUUCUAAGACAAAGCAAGCGAUUCUUAGCCUUAAGAUCCUCCGGAUCGGUAUCGCCUUUGCCUUCUUUAUCCGGGAAAUUGCCCUUCUUAGUAUAGGGAUUAGUAUAGGGCCGGGGAAUGAGAAGACCCAGGGAAAGAGGAGAAUCUAGACCUCUAGAUACCUACAUCCGAGGGGCCGAGAGGGACUAAUAGUGGCUCGGUAUCGGCUUUGCCUUUUCCUUCUUUAUCCGGGAAAGGAGAAUAGGGUAUGCGGGUCCGAUACCCCUUAAGCCGAUAGGCACACUAAUCCGAUUCCUCUUCCUCUGACUCCCCCGAGGGGUUGGGGGGAAAGCCUUAAUUCCAUAUUCUUCCUCUUAGUCUUCCUUCCGGCCGGCCAAGGAAGCGAUUGGCCGAGAAAGAAGAAGAAGGAAAGAACCGAUUCUUAGCCCUUGACCGAGUGAGUUGUCCUCUUUCCUACGCCUUUAUAUAAGGGGUUGGGACUCGUAAUCAGCCUUCUUCUAUAUAUUCUUUGCGCCUUUCAUUCUUCCUCUAAAAAUGACAUAAUAUCUAAAGAGGAUCAUAUUCUUUUUUUAUGCCUCCUUCUCCAGAACCUACUAGUAAGAGGCCGACGGAGCGGUUAAAGGAAAAGGUUCGCCUAUCCCCUUGUUCAUUGAGGGACUCCUAAUUUUUAAUAGAAUGAAUGACUUGCACUCCUUUCUUCUUUUCCGCAAUAUUCUUUGCUCCGAUCAUGAAAAGAGCCGUCCGGAGGACCAUCAAAGAAAGGUCCAGGGUCCGGAGUCCGGAGUCCGCAGGGCCAAAGAAAGGUCCAGGUGAUUUAUCCGUAGGACCAUCCAUAUGGAGGGAAGUAGGACUAUCCAUAUGGAAGUAGUCCGGAGGAUUUAUCCGUAGGACCAUCCGUAAUUAACCGAAGCAGUCCGCAGGAUUUAUCCGUAGUCCGGAGGACUUUCCGUAAUUAACCGAACUUUGCGCCUUAGUUAGUCUUAUUCCUGAAAGUAUUAUUCCGAAAAAAAGCUGUUAAAUAGCUUAAAUAAGCGGUUCAAUUCCCACUCCUAAAAUCAAAGCUCCAGAUGAGUUGACAAGGUUCAAAGAAUGAUCGGAGUCUGCCGCUUUCUUUCAUAACUGAGCCGAGAAUGAGGCUGGCAUAGUUGUCUCUCGCAUGCAAGGAGAUGCUGCUGCUGGAUGUCACGGUUCUGGGGCGCCAUGAUCCUUUUCUCUGGAACAAGAGAGGCGCAAAGAAUAUUGCUCGACAAAUGCCCAAAUAAAAUCAAAGAGGUAGGGACUUCAUCAAUCAUCGCUCAGUGAGCUAUUUAUUGCCGCCAAUAGCGCUUCGCUUGCACGCCAGCGCCACGCCUGGUAGAGCUAUCGCGCGCGGGCGAAGGAGAUGCAUUUUGAGUACUGGUAGUACUGGACAAGCUCAGAGGGAAUAAUCUCUUUCUUCUUUCUUCCUUUCUUUCCCAUGACGACUAGGAACAGGCAAAUCAAAAAUUUCACUUCGAAUUCCGGACCUCAACAUCCUGCUGCUCAUGGUGUUUCACGAUCAGUAUUGGAAAUGAACGGAGAAGUGGUGGAACGUGCGGAACCCCAUAUUGGAUUACUCCAGUGCGGCACGAAGCCGCUGACGCCGAGUCGGCUCCUAUGCCGCUAGCUAUGCCCUGCUUGGUCCCCCGACACGGUGGAGGUUCCGUAGCGCGUCAUGAGCACCGGGCUAAGGGGCGGUUUUUCUACUCAAGCGAACCGCCCUACCUUACUACAACAUAGGGACAGAAGGGAGAAGGUUGUGAAGGUGGCCUCGUUAUCCACACCUCUGGUCGGAUGAAUGGAGGACCUCCAAGAAAAAAGCCUAGGGUUUGAAUGAGCGUUGGCGGGUCCUGGAGUGCCUGUCAAGGGCUCCCGCGCAUACCCCGGGGUGAUCAUCACCACCUGCACCUCACAUCUCGGCACAGUGGAACGUGUAACCCGCCUGCUGUCUCAUUCAACUACAUUUGUUCGUUCCUAUAAUCCAUAGCCUAAGAUCAGGCAGCAGCGAGGGGCAACCUGCCCAUACAGCCAGCGGGGAGGAUGGCACUACUGGCAAAGACCGUCUGGCGAAAACGCCGCAGGCGCGAAGCGUGGUAGGCCUGCGCCGGGGGGGAGCAUAGCAUAGGCGGGAAAGGGAGCCCGGACGGUGGAAGAGCCAGGGGAGGCCGGGUCAUUUGACGGAAAUGGAAGGCUUUUCCCCUAUUUUCAAAGGCCUCAUUCAAGGUUCCGUCUGGUCGAAAGAUCUUUAUGGAAGUGCAUCAAUUCUUGGAAAAAGAGUGAAUGUCUAAUCUUUCUUUGGGUCCUCCGUUUUAGAGUCCUACGGAUAAAUCCUCCGGACCAGUUCUUCCCGCUAUUUAUGGAUGUUCAUUGAUCCUUAAUAGAAAGCCGAGCCUUUAAUUCUUUGCACCUGUCCUCCGUCCUUAGUCGUUCUUUAUAUCCAUAUUAGCUUAGCUUUCUGCGCCUGAGGACGUCCGAAGGACUCUAAAAAGGAGCGUUCUAAUGGAAUUCAUAUUCCGCAAUAUUCUUUGCGCCUAAUCUCAUUCAUUCAAUAUUCUUUUCACCUUCGGUAAACUUUAGCGGAAUCCUUGAGUCCUCCGGACGGACCGGACCACUAUUUCUCAAAUUCUUUGAUCCUCUUGACUUGUCUUUCCUAUAAAAGAUAAGAAAGUCCAUUCAAUGAAUAGAUCUCUUUGAAAGGGUACGAGAGAGAGCGCUGCCUACACGCGAAUUAGCUUCCGAGGUCAAGCAGUCUCAAUAUUGAACUACAGGAUUGAUUUGCGAAUUCAUGCUGGGCUGGGCCACCUCGAAUGGCGUGAGCCGCAUGCGGGGAGACCCGCACGUACGGUUUUUAGGGGGAUCUGGUCGAAAGACCGGCGCCCACCCGACUAGAGGGACUGAGAAAUUAAUAGAGUACAAAACUUAUCUUCAAGCUUUACCUUAUUCUGAUCGUUCAGAGGGCGAUCGCGGAGUCACUGAAUGAAGUCCUCCCUUUCUUUCGGAGGUGCUGACCCGCAGCGAGGCAGAGAUGACUAAGUUACAUAUUCCAUAUGGCGACGACAACAGCAUGUCGUAGAAGGAGAUAAGAGGUGGAGCCAACGACCCACUAAGACUAACGUAUCUACAACUACAUCCCCGAGCGGCAGUCAAACGGAGGCGUGAAUGCAAGAUGCCAGCGGAAUGAUCGGCCGGACAGAGGCUAGGGCUGCUUUCUUCCCACCGCGUCCUUCCUUGUGUGUCGGAGAUAUAAAGCGAGUGCACCGGAAAAGAAGGGGAACUGGGUUGAUCUAUUCUAUGGCGAAGCAUCCGAAGCAUAACUGCACACUCACACGAUCUUUGCCGAGAGAUAGGAGCAUUCGGUGGAACCGGUGAACUACACUUGCUUCUGGAUAGAUGUGUGGGACAGAGGGCUCGUGGUACCUGCAGCCCACCCUUCCUCCUCUGCUUUGAGAACCGUGUGAACGGAGAGUGGGCAGAAGGGAAAGAGGUCCUCAUACGGAGUCGCACACUGACUUUUUCUGUGCGGGAGACUGGAGAAUGGGUCGAGUAAACUCCCCCGGGGCCGGCCGGCAAAAUCACAGACUCAGUGCUAUUUCUUUUUUCUUUAUUGAAUUUCAAAGGAGGCGCAAAGAAUAUUGCGAGGCAGAGGUAGUACUUCGAAUGGCGAAGAGAGGCGGCUCGGCAAAGAAGGAAUGGGAAAGAUUCUGACUUCUUUGUUGGCGAAACGAAGGGCUAAAUAGCGCCAUUCUCUGAGCCGGUCUGGAUUUCCAAUGCCUCGGGAAAGAGGUCGAUCUCGAUGACAAGACCUUUUUCUUCUUUAUUGGGUGCCUUCUUUUAGAAGUAGUCGGAAAGAGAAAGCCUAAAGAAGGAAUUGCAUGAAUGAUCGAGGAUUCAAGUUCCAUAAAUCAGUCCAAGGCUCAAAGAGGUUAAUAUGGAAGGUGAAAAGUGGUUUUCAAAGUCAGAGCUAUCCCUUAUUAUUGAGGGCUUUGACCACCUGGACACUCGCCUACUCAGUCGCAAGGAUCAAAGAAUUUGAUUGACAAAGAAUAUUGCGAUUUUACAGACUCAAGAGGAUCAAAGAAUUUGAGAAAUAGGCAGUCAUAAAGGCUCAGUUAAGCUUGAUAAAGGACUCCUUCGCCCAUCCAUAAACAUAAAUAAAUAGAGAGAGGCUCAAAGAAUUUGAGAAAGCCUACCAUAAAUCAGUCCGACUAUCCUGGGAAGUCGCGCUUUGCUUACCGGCUCAGGCUUCCAAAGGCGACCAGCUUGAAAUACCUUUUCUUACGUUACGCUGCCAUUGAUUUUUCCAAUCUCAUUGAAUAGCAUGGCCUGGGGUAACUUAAGUGGGAGAGCCGUGUUAUGGGUGACCUUAUUGCACGGUUCAGAGAGCACUUGUGUAUGUGAUGCAAGUGAACGUGUACGAAAAAGCUGUAGGAAAGUGAGUUCUUCGUUCCGUCGUCGACCCUAUCUAUGUUUCUACGAUGGCCCAAGAACACGCUCAUUCUUCAGCUGUAGAGAGACUUUUGAAUUGCGAGGUACCAUUACGAGCUCAAUAUAUACGAGUCUUAUUCCGUGAAAUCACUCGAAUUUCAAAUCAUUCACUUGCUUUAACUACUCAUGCUAUGGAUGUGGGAGCAUCAACUCCGUUCCUGUGGGCUUUUGAGGAGCGGGAGAAAUUAUUUGAAUUCUAUGAAAGAGUCUCGGGAGCCAGGAUGCAUGCCAGUUUCAUACGACCAGGUGGAGUGGCACAAGAUCUGCCUCUUGGCUUAUGUCGAGAUAUUGAUUCCUUCACACAACAAUUUGCUUCUCGUAUCGACGAAUUAGAAGAGAUGUCAACCGGCAACCGUAUCUGGAAACAACGAUUAGUGGAUAUUGGUACUGUCACUGCACAGCAAGCAAAGGAUUGGGGAUUCAGUGGUGUAAUGUUAAGAGGUCGUGCGACAUGAAGACAUUGAUAGCAAUAUGGGGGAAGUUCCCAUCAGGCAACAAGGGUUCUGCCUGACCCUACUUAAGCAUGCAUAUUAUGUCAGUGAAGACUUGGUGUGAAGCCUUGGAGCUUACGUUAGAAGAGCAAAAGGCCCGGGGCUAGGGUAAGCUGAGGGGGGACAGCGUAAGUGAGCGAAUGUGUGUAAGCCCAGUCAAAGAUGACUGUUCUAGGCGGGGCGGGCCACCCACCUGAGAAUGGUCUUGGUCCUACGGACCGUGAACGGAUUCGCCUCUGGCCUCUGGGUACGUCUCCACCGCAUAAGUUCACCGGGGUGGAGCACGGUCCGCCAAAAUCGGCAUAGGUUAGGUGCUAUUGAUGGAACAUGGUAAGCCUAUCUUUCUCCAUAUGGAAGUGCUGCGGGCACAUAGAGAUGUGGGUAGAGGAAGCCUCAAAAAGCGAAGGCCGAGCUGUAGGUCACGUGACCUGCACCGAGUUGGUGGCUGACUGGGCUUUUUCCUAGAUCAAAGCGGAGAAGCGAGCCUGAUUCUUAUCCAAAAGUCGGUCCCAAAAACUUUAGGGUUCUUCCCGUGUAGUGGGCUUGCUUUGCGCAACUGCGCCCCACUUUAGGAAUUUGGUGUCCAUUUAAAGUCUAAUCUUUCACUCAAAUUUCAUUCAGCCUCAUUCAUUCAAUAUUCUUUUCACCUUCGGACCGUCCGAAGGACAGACGGGUCCUCCGGACCUGUGACGCCUUCGCACCUGGAAGUCGCUUCGCUUCGCGCCUCCUACAAUAUCCCUGUCUUAUGGAGCCGGAGGACGGACCAAAAAAUAGGCGAAGCGAGACAGAAAGAAAGCAUAGGAGGAAGAGCCAUAGGCGCAGCAGCUAGAAGAAAGCAUAGGAGGAAGAGCCAUAGGCGCAGCGCUUGUGAUUAGAAUCCCAGUCAAAAGAGAAAUCAGCCUUUUGCCUUGGGAAAGAGAGAAUUAAUGAGAAUGAAACUGGAAGUCUGACUCACACUUGAGAAAUUCAUGUGUCUCGCAAAUGAGAGAGGAUGUAGUAGGUCCAUGAAUGAAUUGCCUUUUCUCCUAGGCUUUCCUUUCCAAUCCCUAUUUUUUUCUUUAUGAAUGAAAAAAGAAAGGCUGAAUGAAAUUUGAGUUUGCGCCUUCUGACUUUAUCAAGCUUAACACAUCUACAUUGAAUUAUAAGGCGCAAAGAAUAUUGCGAAGCGAAGAACAAAAAUCAGGCUCAAUGCAAGAAAGCAAAGAACUAAAAAGAAAGGUCCAGAUGCGUCACAGGUCCUCCGGACUGCGACUGAGGCGCAAUGAAAUAUGCGUUCAGGAUCAAUUCAAAGUUCAGCGGGAAGAACUGGUCCGAAGGACUAUCCAUAUUAACCCAAAGAAAGAUUGACCUAGAAAGAGAGGACCGUAGGAGGCUCAAAGAAUGAUCGGAGUAGGUGCAAAGAAUAUUGCGAAGGCGCAAAGAGCUCAGAAUUUUCUCUUUUUAUCCACCCCAUAAAUCAAGUCCAAAAAAUAGGCGUCCUUCGGACUGGUUUUUUUAGCAUCAAAAUUCAAUUCUCCCAACAUCGUUCGUCUUCAUGUCUUUCUGGGAGUCGAGGGCUCUUCACUUUCAUUCAGGUCUUUCCUUAUUCCCUUUUUGAAUGCAUGAGACAUGAAAAGAAAGAAAGCCUCAAGCAGAACCACAUUCCUUUUGCGUGCGGAUGUAGCUAAGUGUCUGACCCUUGUUUGUGAUUCCCUGCUGUUGCGGCCUAUCCUUGAAUGCGCGUGAACCAACCCAAGAAAGAAGGAAAGGAUGCCUCUCGGGGCAUCUGAGAAUGAUUAGAGCUGUAUGAAGGGAAACUCUCACGUACAGUUUCUUUUUUUUUGGGGGGGGAAGGAGCCCGACAGGGUCCCCCCACUGACUUGGCCCGGGCCUAAGUGAAAGUGAAGUGGUGGGCCUACCCAUCCCAACCAGGGGUAUGCUGGGAUUUGCGAAGAGCAGCACCUUACGAUGUUCAUGACCAAUUGGAUCCUGACGUACCAGUAGGUACCAGAGGAGAUCGCUAUGAUCGUUACUGUAUCCGUAUCGAAGAGAUGCGACAAAGUGUUCGGAUCAUUGUGCAAUGUCCUAAUCAAAUGCCUAGUGGGAUGAUCAAAGCCGAUGAUCGUAAGCUAUGUCCUCCAUCACGAUCUCGAAUGAAACUAUCCAUGGAAUCGUGUGCCGUGUGAAACGUAGAUCAUCGCCGUUCUUAACCGAGACUCAGGUUAAGCUCCGUCUCGGAACCUUGUGGGGUUAGGAGUAAAGCAUCCCGAGGUUGACGCAUCUCGUUGGGCGUGGAGAAACAUUGGGAACCAAAAUAGCUUUCUUCGGAGCCGUUUCUUCUCCCGUCCCCCCGCCCCGGCAUAGCGCUUCGCUUUCGGUGAUUCUUCCGAAUCAACUGACUUCUCCCUUCUUCAUUGAUCUGGGGGAAAAGGAACCGUCUACCUGUUGGGAAGCUAGACAUUCAGUAAGUGGCUUGAUGAGGAUAACUAAGCUGACACGCCGGAGUUGGCUGCUGGCACAACUGGGUGGUGCCUUACCGCACCGCAGGUUCACGCGCGGUAGCGUUCGUGGUGGUGCUUCAGGAUUCCAAUGUACUGCAUCCAAGAUCAGAACGAGCUUGCCGGCGGACCAUUGCCGUCCCAUUCUUGAGUGAGCUGGAGCGCAGCCAUCUUAUCCACUGAACUAGCGUUAAGCUAUUGCUUCGGGUCGAAGCACUAAAAGAAAAGGACCAGGAAAGGCGGCGGUAUAGGAACCACGGGACCCCCCCACUAGUCUAGUAAAGGGAAAAGAGAAGUGCGCUCCUCUCCUGUAAGUAAAGCAGCUUCGCACCUCUCAAGAAAUAAGAAGAGCAGCUAAAAGGAAGGAAAGAUCGAAUUCAGAGAUCAUUCAACUCUCUUUCAUACUCUUUCUCUUGUUCCGCUACGUGGGCUUCCUCUUUCUUUUCCCUUUCUUGGUCGAGCUGCUGUCAAUAUUCUUUUCACCUGCGCACCUGCUUCAAAAGCCCUUUACCCUUUGAAUAAUAAGGUCAGCUUCAUAGUUCCAACCUAGAUAAGGCUUUUUUAUGCCCUUUUUUUAGGUUGGGUUGCUGGAUACGGGAUCCUCGUAGUAGGCUGGACCAAGAUCCAGCCGAGAGAGGGCAGCCUUUAGAAGGAAGAGGUUGGGAAAGCAAGAGAAGGCUGAGCCUUUUCUUAUCUUUUUCCCUAGGCUCGCCCCUCUCCCUACGGUCGAGUCUCUUCGCCCCUCUCCUUACAGUCUCAAUCAAAUUCUUUGACCCUCUCCUUACAGAAAAAAAAGAGGGAUUUGGAUUAUUGACCCAAUGAGAAAGCACUAACAUCUUCCUCGUUGGGGCUUCGCGCACUGGGAAAAGGCUAAGGCGACGGGAAAUCGGCCGUCAGUCUGAGGAAGCCCACGGAGCGGUAUCGAGAGGGCUAUCACAGUCAGGUGGAAAUUACCCCCGUACCCCUCUUUCAUUAUUAUGUUAGGGGGUUGAGGCGAGAAAUGGCUUGAUUCACCCUUCCGUUCGCCACGCACCGGCCCCAUUCACUUGCUUAUCGUAGAGGCUUGAAGUAUACAGUGCCCCACAACGUAGAAUAGUAUAGUGGGGUUGAAAGACGAGAGUGCCCGCCCUUUCUUUCAAGUAGGCCACUUUUUCCUCCACGCAGCCCGGGAUAAGCGUGACCGUGUAUAUAUAUCUAUAUAUAUCUUCUCCUCUCUCAUUUCUCAAUGUCCGCUUCAACCGCUCUUUCAACUACCAAAAAGCUAAGUUGGCUUGACGAGCGCAGAUGUGAGGAAGCGGGAGCAAUAAAACAAGAAAUCUCGAGGGCGAAAGAACGAAACUUGAAAGCAACCCGAACCUACUAAAACGAAAAGGAAGAAAGCCUAGCGAACAAGCCAGAUCAAUUAUGAAUUUGGCGGAAUAUAAGGUUUGAAUUCAGAGGAAGAAUCAGAUUCAAGUCAUAAGACGAUAGAGGAAGAGGUUAAAGGACAGCGGGGAAGUCAUAUCUAUCCAUCCUUAUUCGGUAAAGAAAACGGAGCGGUAAAGGUGCAAAGAUCUAUGGCCCACUCCUCCUUCAGCAUAAUCUAUAAGAAGAUUUGCACUGGGGGAUAUUCUUUGCUUGCUUUUCUUGUACUUUUUAUAGGACUAAACUAAAGGGUGCAGAUGAGAUUUUCAUGGGAAUGCAGUUCGAGCAAUCCGGACGGAAGAAAAUCAAUGAGGCCUCCUAAUCGCAUAUUUCAUUGCGCCUCCUAUAAAUAAACAAGUCCUCCAACUACGUUGCCUCCGCUCCCCCUAAUGGAUAGUCCUUCGGACCUGUCUUAUGGCACCGCUACGUGGGCUUAACGGUUCAUGAAUAUGGAUCAAAAUCAGUCCCACUAUUUAAGGCUCUUUUCAGAUUUCGAAAGAGUUCAUUUUUUUCAAUUUGAGAGAAGGACUGAUCGAUGUUAUUGGCAAUGAACAAGGUUCAAGCCUAGACUUAAGAGGAGCGCAAUCAAUGAACAAGGGGCCUACUAGAAAAGGAAGAAAAGAAUGAGAGAGAAGAAGAACCUACUAUUUGGAAGAAAGCCUAUCCCAAAAGAAAAGAUACAUCAAAAUAGAAGUUGCGCUUUCUUCUUAGUAGGUUUAGAAGAAACUGAAAGAAAAGAAACGGAAGGAUGAAAGGAAAGAUCAGUCAGAAAGACGCAAUGGAUAGUCCUCCGGUUCAAAGAAUAUUGACUAGCGCAAAGAAUUUGCGAAGAAGGCUAGGCGCAAAGUUCGGUUAAUUACGGAAAGUCCUACUUCCUUCUAAUGGAUAGUCCUCCUUCGGUUAAUUACGGAUGGUCCUACUUCCAUAUGGAUAGUCCUACGGAUAAGAAUCCUGCGGACUCCGGACUACGGAUAAGAAUCCUGCGGACUCCGGACCCUGGACCUUUCUUUGAUGGACAGGUGACGGGGGAUUUGAUGAGUGCAAGCGAAAACUAAUAGAUUUCAUAGUCCUUCGGACGGAUACCGCGCCUUAUCCACGAUCUGAAUUCAGCCUUCGGUUCAAUUCCCACGCCAAAAACAAAGGUCCAGAUGAGUUCAAAGAAUAUUUCAUGAAUUUCCUCCUUUCAAAUUCAAAAUAAUGGAAAUAAGGGUCCUGACGUUCAAUUAUUCCAAAAAGAAAGGUCCAGGUGACCUACAAUAUCCCUGUCUUAUGGAGCCUCCUCCUACGCGUCCAGAUCCCUUUCAGUUCCACGCAAUAUUCUUUGCUCCUACAACUUCGGAUAUUGAUCAAAGAAUUAUCGAUUAGAUCCAUUGAAUUUCAGGCUCAAUGAAAUUUGAGUCAAGAUGACAUUCUUUCUUUUCUGGGCCUUGUGUUAAGCAAUUCCAGAAGAAAGCCUAGGACCAUGAAUUUAUAGAGAAUAGUCCUCCGGACCUCCUUCAGCAUAAUCUAUGAAUGAUCGGAGCAUGAAAUGGAGAGGUGCAAAGAAUAUUGCGAAGGCUCUUUUCAGAUUGAGAAUAUUGCGAGAGUAAGAGCUAUCCAAAAAUCAUGAAGCACCUGGACACUCGCCUACUCAGUCGCAAAGUUCGGUUAAUUACGGAAAGUCCGGAGGACUACUUCGGUUAAUUACGGAUAGUCCUCCUUCCUUCCAUAUGGAUGGUCCUACUUCGGUUAAUUACGGAUGGUCCUACGGAUAAAUCACCUGGACCUUUCUUUGGCCCUGCGGACUCCGGACUCCGGCGCAUAUUGCGAGGAGCAGCUUAAUUUAUAGACCAGAUCCCCAUAUUCAUUAAAUAGUGGUCCGGUCCGAAGGUGAAAAGAAUAUUUCAUGAGAUUAGGUCCAUUCAAAAUGACAGGAAAAGUGGAAAUAUGCCACUCUUAUUCAAUGAAGUGCAAUAUUGACUGCAAAAUGGCGGAUUUUUCUUCUUGCUGCUUUAUAUAAAGGGGCCAAAAGUGAAAAAUGACUAUUCCAUUUGCCCAGGGAAAAGAGUGAAAAAUGGCUCAACCCUUAUCCAGCUGCCAGCUAUAAAGAAGUCCGACUAUCCUACUAGGCCUUGCAUUUUGUGCAUUUUCGCUAAUACCUAAAACAUUUAAGCGGAGGCCUUUUGUUCAAAGAAGAUUUCCCGGUUGAUUUUCCUCCCCUAUCUUUUUAUGGCCUUCUACGCGCUUGAUCUUUUUAGUAGUCCUCUUUCAUUGAUCUAUUUUGAUGCCACAAACAACUAGAAAGAAAUAAAUGAGAAGCUUGAUUUUAGGUUUCAAGGCGCAAAGAAUAUUGCGAGAUUUCGCCUUCUAUUUUUUUCCAUUAAUCAGUUGCACUCCUUAAUAGAAAGCCGAGCCUAUUCGCACCUGGAAGUCUUGUCAAUAUUCUUUUCACCUUCGGACGGAGGCAAAGAUCAGCGCUUUUGCUACUGAGAAAGCGAAGGGUCAGCGCGAAGGUUCAAGACUUAGCCGAGCGUUAGCGAAGCCUCAUUCUCAUAGCGAGGCUCGGAGAGUUAGCGAAGCGCUGUAGUAGGGGCCCUAUGUGCUAUAAUGCUGAGCCAAGGACGCUCCGCCUUAUCUAUAUCAGCAGUCAACUGAGUUCUUCACGAAUUAGCUCCUUGGUAAUGGCUCAAUCUAUAGAUAGAAAGCCUUAUGAUGGGAAACUACCACGUUAGGUUUGGAGAGAGAUGGGACCGGCAAGACCCAGCCAGAUGCAAGCUUUUUCUUUCAAUAGCCGGCCAAAUGACUAAGAGGAUCAUCAUCGGUCUACUCUACCUCAAUUCACCAUUUCGAACUUUAUACAGAAGGUUUUUCCGUACCAGCUUCUUCUACCUAUACCGCAGUGGAAGCACCUAAAGGUGAAUUUGGUGUCUUUCUGGUCAGUAAUGGAAGCAAUCGUCCCUACCGUCGUAAAAUAAGAGCACCUGGCUCUGCCCAUUCACAAGGACUCGAUUCUAUGUCCAAACAUCACAUGCCAGCGGAUGUGGUCACCAUCAUAGGUACUCAAGAUAUUGUGUCUGGAGAGGUAGAUAGAUAGGACUACUAGUUGCUCGAUCAGGGCCAACGCUUUAUUGCGAGCCAAAAACCUCAGCGGAUCCUAUAAAGAGAAAGCAGCCUAGUGGAAGAGGUUAAUAUUGAAAAAGAAAGAAUCUCAUCUUGACUCAAUGAAUUCAGCCUAGAUCAGUUCGCAAUAUUCUUUGCGCCUUAUAAUUGUUCUUUGCGCCUAGCCUUCGGACCUGUCUUAUGGGGCCUUCGUAGCUUAAUAAUGGGGAUCUGGACGUAGUAUGAAUCUCGCAAGUCAAAUUCUCUAAUGGAUAGGCCUCACGCAAACCGUAAUAUUCUGCCCCGUCCUCAGUCGCAGGUUAAUAUGGAUAGUCCUUCGGACCUGUGACGCCUUCGGACUGGAGCUUUAUUUUUCAUUAAGAAAAAGGACCAGUCCUCCGGACGGGAAGAUCAAUGAACGAGUCAAUGAACAAAGAACAAAGAAUUUGAGAGAAAGUGAAAGAUUGAACCUUUACCCUCGCGGGUACAUAGGAGGUUCGGGUAAGACCUCACCCAGACUGUCUCAGUUUCACCAUCACGAGGACGAAAGAGUACAAACCCACCAUUCCCACGGGGCGGUAUGACGGGGUCUAAGCUAAGCCGGGAACAUCACUCGCCCAGAGGUUUAGGCUCAAAGAAUUAUCGAUAGGCUUUAUGGAACCGCAAAAUUAACUGGGAGUCUUCCCUCAAAUCCUUUGAGCCUUGUUUUGUCUUCUUUCUCUUUCUUCAGUCCUUCUCUCGCAAUAUUCUUUGCGCCUUGCUUUCCUUGAUAGCUGCUAGCCUAAAAGGUAAUGAAGUUGGAAGGAACUCGACGGAGUUGACGAAGUUGAGAUCAGAAGCUCGCCAGCCCUGAAUUCUCAUUAAUAGAAGGGAUUCACUGGAUGAAAGUGUGACGAGAGUCAGACGUGAAGAACUGCUCUGUCUAAGUUAGCGCGUAGUGGGGAUUUCUCAGUCCGUUCGGAAGCUACUGUAGGAGUUCCAGAGAUUGACCGAUACUGGGAAGAUCUUCAGAGACGCCCACUGCACCUGGGAAUCUUUCUCUUGACUUCAAGGCCCAGCCCUUCAUGAAAGGCCAGCCCUUCAUUAGUCAAGGGAAUGAGAAGGCCCACGGAGCGGUAUACCAGCGGGAGCGGGGGAUAAGUGGAAUUCCCCCAUUCAAGGAAGAAGAUGGGAAUCGAGUGAGGAUCUCUUCUCGCUGUGCUCGCAUAGCUCUUGGUCUUCUGGUUACGGGCUAUUCAUUUUUGAUGAAAGAAGUAGGAUCACGUACGGAUUGAAUUGAACUCGACUCUCAGAUAGAGGCGUCUUGCCCAAAUUCCCCAUGAAAUGAGAGAGAACUUCUCCUUCCCCAUAAAGGGAAAAUGUCCUGAUUUUAGGCUUUUCUUCUAUUAGUAGUAGUAGUAGUAGUAGUAAUGAUAUUUGUCGAAGAUUCCUUUCUCAAAUUCUUUCUCAUAUUUCUAAAUAUUAGUGGAAGGCAAUCGCAUCGCAAAUUCUUUGCGCCUCCAAUUCCCCGUCACCUGUCCAUCAAAGAAAGGUCCAGGUGAUUUAUCCGUAGUCCGGAGGACUUUCCGUAAUUAACCGAACUUUGCGCCUAGCCUUCGGACCUGUCUUAUGGCACCGCUACGUGGGGUCUGAAACUGCUUUAUAAAGGAUCAUGACUCUUUGAAUUUCAUGGAUAAACAAGUCCGGAGGACGGGGUCCAGAUGCGCGAAGCGAAGCGACUGGAAGGCGCAAAGAAUAUUGCGUUGAUGAGUGCAAGGCUUAAAGAUUUUUCUACCGCACCGUGGGGGAGUCAGAAACCGCAUCUUUGCAAAUAUGAAGGCGCGAAGCGAAGCGCAUGAAUUAAAGAGAGAAAGAUAGGCUGAAUUCAUUGAGUGAAACCUAUUCAAACCGUCGUCAGGACCCUUAUUUCCAUUAUUUUGAUAUCUCCGAAAGUCAGGCAAUAUCCAUAUUCAGUGGAAUUCAAUAUUCUUUCAGUUCCAUCAAAGAAAGGUCCAGGGUCCUACGUCCGCAGGGCCAAAGAAAGGUCCAGGUGAUUUAUCCGUAGGACCAUCCAUAUGGAGGGAAGUAGUCCGGAGGAUUUAUCCGUAGGACCAUCCGUAAUUAACAGAAGUAGGACCAUCCAUAUGGAAGGAAGGACUCUAAAACGGAGUGGGCAAAUUUCAUUGAUCCAUAGUCGCAGUGAAUUGAGAGACCAGAUCGAUCCAAUUCCGACCUGUGAAAUCGUCUUGCGCCAUAUGUACUGAGAUUGUUCGGGAGACAUGGCGAAAAAAGAAGAAAGUUUUCAGUUCCGUGGCCUAUUCAUUUCAUUAGCAUUUUUUUGAGGAUUCCAGCCCGAGAAGAACGAGAAGAAAAUGUAUGGGAAAAUCAUAUGCAAAAUAUAUCAUAAUUAUUGCCCAUUAUUCUUUCUUCUUUAGAAAGAUCCGAAGGCCAAAUUUUCGGAAUAGGCGGUCUCUGACUUUCCUUUUUCGUACUAAUCCUUAUAUCAAAGAUCUUUCAAAAAUCUCAAAAAAUCUUUUCAAAGGAAGGGCUUCCUUUUUCUUGUUCUUUCUUUCCUCAUUCUCUCCUUGACCUCCAUAGUCCUCUACUUAAUACGACAAAAUCUCACUACUCUUUUUUUCUAGUAUUUUUGUAUUAACCACGGGCGGCUUGGUUCUCACCACUUGUUCUUUUGUUGAUGAUCCAUCCGCUUCUUCGGAGGAUUCCUUCGACCUCCAGGUCCUCUCGGAGCCUUGGCCCGUAACUCCAAAUAGCGCGGAAGAAACCUCUCUUUUUAAUAGAAUCAGACGAUUAGAAAGAGAGGAUUGUAUCUUUCUGCUGGGAAGGGGUCCAGGUCUAUUCUGGAGGGAAUCUGUGAAGAGGACUCUUGAUUCUUAUACAACUCAGGAGGACUACGAUUUCUUCCUCGAGUUCUCAAAGAGAGAUCUGGAGAUCCGGGAGCUGAGACACUCCUGUUAUCAAAAGUUUUUUGAACUUCUUAAUGAGAACCCUGACCUCGUGGAGAAAGCCCCCUGCGAUCCAAAGAAUUGCCUUAUCCAUUUCUUGGAAGAGAAGCGCGGCGAGCUGGACUCCUUUACGGAGUUGAGCGUCAAAAAAAGAGACAGAGAAGAAAUCGAAUUUCUAGAAGUGGAGAAAAAUUGUUUUUGAAAUUCUGAAAUGACUGAUGGAAUUUCUUUCAUUAUCUUUCUUUUUUGCGAGAAAAUAUGGGGUUUCUUUCGGGUCGAAGGAAAGAAAGAGAGAAGGAAGUGGUCGGUCUCAUCACCAAAGAAAUCAAGCUGCAUCUUUCCAAGAAAAUAGCGAGACCGAAGAGGAGAGGUUUGAGGGAGGGGUUUCGAUGAAUCAUACAUAUUUAGGAGGUUGGUUGAAGAUGAUGUUACCCGGCGUUCAGAACCAGCCUUGAAGUUCAUUCAUUUGAAAGAAGGAAGAAGUAAGGAAAUGAGACGACUCUUUCUUGAACUAUAUCAUAAACGGAUCUUCCCCUCCACACCAAUCACGAGUUUUUCUCCAUUCCUCUCGUAUAUCGUCGUAACGCCCUUAAUGCUAGGUUUUGAAAAAGACUUUUCAUGUCAUUCCCAUUUAGGUCCGAUUCGGAUCCCUCCGUUGUUUCCUUUUCCUCCCGCACCUUUUCCUCGAAAUGAGAAAGAAGAUGGUACACUCGAAUUGUAUUAUUUAAGUGCUUAUUGCUUGCCAAAGAUCCUACUUCUACAAUUGCUAGGUCACUGGGUUAUUCAAAUAAGUUGUCUUUUCUGUGGUUUUCCCAUGUUAAAACUUCCGUACCAAUUCGGUCGAUCCGGAAUGGAUCGGUUAAACAUUCUAUUAGGGAGCCUGGUCUUGACUCUUCUGUGUGGUAUUCAUUCUCGUUCGGCUCUUGGAAUCACAUCCAGCCGUGGUUGGAACAGUUCGCAAAAUCCAACCACUUCACCUACUUCAUUGCCCCCAACCCUUUCUCGUACCUCUAUUGAAACAGAAUGGUUUCAUGUUCCUUCAUCGAUUGGUUAUUCCUCCCCGUUCGUCUCUCUUUUUCCAAUUUCGGUCUCUCUUAGUUUACAAGAUUGAAUGGCUAAUUUCGGACCCUCGAUUCGAUUGUUUUCCAAGAAAGCCAGGUAUGUAAGCCGUGUAUCUGGAUCUGGGAGGAAGUUCAAAGAAGGGCUUUCGCUUUAAUCAAAUCAUUAGAAUGAUAAGACUUGGGGACGACUUCUCCUAUUUCAAGGAGGACGAAAGAAAGAGAGUCAAAGGCAUAAUCCUAUCACUCUCUCUUUGUCUAACUUGUUCAAAUCAAAAGAAAAGAAAGAAAAGAAGGAUAUACCAUUUGACUCUAAAAUCAAGCUGCAUCUUUCCAAGAAAAUAGCGAGACCGAAGAGGAGAGGUUUGAGGGAGGGGUUUCGGAAUUUUUCUGCUUUUCUUUUUCGGUAUGCCGCUCCGCGAUCAAGGAGCGAAAGAAGCAAGUGGGCUGUGGUGAUGUCAGAAUUUGCACCUAUUUGUAUCUAUUUAGUGAUCAGUCCGCUAGUUUCUUUGAUCCCACUCGGUCUUCCUUUUCCAUUUUCUUCCAAUAGUUCAACCUAUCCAGAAAAAUUGUCGGCCUAUGAAUGUGGUUUCGAUCCUUCCGGUGAUGCCAGAAGUCGUUUCGAUAUCCGAUUUUAUCUUGUUUCCAUUUUAUUUAUUAUCCUUGAUCCGGAAGUCACCUUUUCCUUUCCUUGGGCAGUACCUCUCAACAAGAUUGAUCUCUUUGGAUCUUGGUCCAUGAUGGCCUUUUUAUUGAUUUUGACGAUUGGAUUUCUCUAUGAAUGGAAAAGGGGUGCUUCGGAUCGGGAGUAAUCACUAGUGAGAGGGCGAUGCCUACAUUAAAUCAAUUGAUUCGUCAUGGUAGAGAAGAAAAACGGCGCACGGACCGUACUCGAGCUUCGGAUCAAUGUCCCCAGAAGCAAGGAGUACGCCCGCGUCUUGCAACGAGAACACCGAAAAAACCUAAUUCAGCUCCACGUAAGAUAGCCAAAGUACGGUUGAGCAAUCGACAUGAUAUAUUUGCUCACAUUCCGGGCGAAGGUCAUAAUUUGCAGGAACAUUCUAUGGUCUUAAUAAGAGGAGGUAGAGUGAAAGAUUCGCCAGGUGUGAAAUCCCAUUGUAUUCGAGGAGUCAAGGAUUUGCUGGGAAUUCCGGAUCGAAGAAGAGGCAGAUCUAAAUAUGGUGCAGAAAAACCAAAAUCGAUAUGAAUGGAAGAUGCCUCUGGAACUUGUUUUUCUCGUCGAGGGAAGAACCACUAAAAACUCGGAAUCUCACUACUUCCGAAUGACCUCUCAUUCCGUCUACUACACUAGCCAAGAAAGAGUGUAUUAGAGACUCCAUUCGCCCGUGAGUAGAGGUGCAAAGAAUAUUGCGGAGAGAAAGGCGGAAAGAAUAUUGCGGUUCAGUCAGGCGCAAAGAAUUUGCGAAGAAGGCCAGACAGGUCCGAAGGACUAUCCAUAUUAACCCGUCUGUCCGAAGGACGGGAUAUUCUUGGGGAUUUGAGAUGCGUUCAUAAAUUCAGUUGACCACUUCUGACUUAGUCUUGCUACACGAGACGAGUGAGGGGUUCAGAGAUUGAGCUCGCGGAUAGCUUCAGUCUAGAAAUUUCAGAAGCAUAUGGAAUCAAUGAAUAGAGGGAGAAGGCCUCCUUUGUCGAUUUGCGCUCCUUAACAUAGGCUUUCCUGGAGAGACUUUCUCCUAUUAGAACCUACUAUUUGGAGGACGUAGAAGGCAUCAAAAUGCAAUUCCCCGCUCCCGUCAAAGAAAGGUCCAGGCGCAAAGAAUAUUGCGAGUCAUGAUCUCCAGCUCGAGUUUAGGAAGAGGAUCUGGGCCCACGUAGCGGUAUUGUAUUCUAUGAAUACGAAAGGGUAUUAGAGGUUGAAUGAGUUGUAGAGGGAAGAAUAUAUCGACCGAUCCCCUUAUUUAUUAUUCAUGAAAGAAUCGGAAUAAAGAGCGGAGCCGGCUUCGAUCUAAGAUGCUGAAGACUCAGUAACUUCAAUCGUAAGCGAGAGUCAGCGGGACCGAUCGGGGAAGGUUAGAAUAGACCAGUUGAGGAUAGGGAUCGGGAGUAGUAUGAUGAGUUCUGAGGUAUCCGUAAUUGCAUUGAAGAAAGGCCCUACUUUGGAGUCCGUAGAAGUCCCCUUGUUCAUUGAUUGCGCUCAUCAACACCUUUGGAGUUGGCUUUCUUCUUUAUGAGACUUUCAGUCUUCCUUUCUCAAAUUCUUUUCCCCCCUAAUCGACGAUAGGUCGUCUGAAUGAAGCUGAACCUUCGCCUUGUUCAUUGACUCCUCUCCUAUUCGCCUAUUUUUUGGUCCGAAGGCGUCACAGGUCCUCCGGACUGCGACUGAGGCGCAAUGAAAUAUGCCUUGAAUGAUUGAAUGAUUGAGAAUUUGACUUUGGAAUUUCACGAAAAAAUCUCAUUUCUCCCUCCGUAGGAGUCUCCUCUGGCUUCUUAUCUGAGGUAGGAGUCUCGACCGAGUAGUAGGUUCUUGUCUUUUAUUUCGAUCUACGUUAAAGACCAUAAAGGCAAGAUUGCUCAUCAACCCGGUUCUUGGGACAUUACAAGAAAAGGAUAAAGAGAAAGAAGCCUCGCCAAUAAGGCAUGAAAGAGCUUACCGAUCGAAGUUAUGCUUCGGCAACUGUAGCGGAUGAGGCAUCCGAGUAUAGAAAGUCGAGCCACUAUUCAACCUCUGAAACAACCUAUUCAACCGCUCCGUGGGCUGAGACUGAGGCUUACUCAGCCGAUGACGCUGCCUAUCGGUCUCGCCCCUACUCAGCUCAGUCUGACCCUUCCCGCGGAUCUGACUAAAGAUAUCUUCCCUAGCCUGAUGCUGAAAGUUCGAGAUCUGACCUCUCCUUUUGAGUCUUAUGACUUUUUAGUGGAAUUAAGAGGUCCUUCGCAAAUUCUUUGCGCCUUGCCUUAGGCUUUUCUUUUAGAAUAGCCGCAACUCAAUGAAUUCAGCCUCUCAACAACGCAAUAUUCUUUGCGCCGCGUAGUGGGCUUACCUUUAAGACUCCUUCUUUUCAGUUCCAUAAGACUCAUCUGGAGCUUUUGUUUUUGAAGGCUCAAAGAAUGAUCGGAGCAUGAAAUUCAGAGAGAAAGAAAGGCUCAAAGAAGAUUGAGAAAUCCAUAUUAACCUUUGGGACUUCUUUAUGAAAUCCAUAUGAAAUUCAGAGCGGUUCAGAGGUCGAAGUGGGUUGAGUCCGUAUCAGUCCUUGUGCCCUCUUUGAAGCAGAGGUCAUCGACCGCCUUUUAGUUCAUUCCCCAUUAUCUCGUAUAUGAAGAAUAGAAUAUUCCCACGGAGGCUCAAAGAAUUUGAGAAGGAGCUUUGAAUAUUGCGAAAAAGGAAGGGUGCGCGUGCGGAGGCAAAGAAAGCCAUCAACUUCUAAUUCCCCGGUCUAGUGGACUCAUUUCCCUGGAUUCCUACUUCCGAGACACCUCUUGAUCCGAGUACUUCCCGCCGACCCCUUUCUUCUUAUAUACUCAAAAUAGUGGAAAGGGAUCUACCGAACCUUCCCCCUCCUUGAUCAUACUCAUUCACAUUCUUCUUAUGCCGACCUAUGAGAUCAGGCUUGAGUUCGGCUAGCCCUCUUUUUAGAUAUUAUGUUCAGUGAGAGGGAAAAGAAGGGCAAACAAAGAGGUGUGGGGUUGCUCGGGCCUCUAUCUAUUCUCUCAUUGGGUAAGCAUUUUCUCGAAAAAGACUGUGAAGGUCUUGGAAAGAAAGAAGGAAUCCAGAUAGGAAUCAUUACUAAAAGAAGAAGUCACGGAGAGAAGGGAGAGUCAGGAUCGGUCUUGAACCAGAUCGGCGGGAUAGCAUCUUGAGUCCUUGAGUGCUUGGCUCCCUAUCACAUGAUAAGAAGAAUUCGACCAUAGUCUAAUUGAGCUGGGAGGGCCAUUGAAUAAUCGAAUAGAUAGGAAGACUGUAAAGGCAGCGAGAUCUUUUUUUCCCGUGUAGUGGGUUGGAUGAAAUUUGGAGAGGGGAUUACUUUGUCCACUAAGGGAGAGAAGUACUAUUCAAAAUCUUAGUCUUUGGUAAGGCCACUUAGAGGUUCAAAUCCUCCACUCUGAUUCCAUUCCGUCUGGUUGGAACAUCCUAUUGGCGGAAUAGAAUGAAAGCAUAUUCACCCGUACUCUCCCGCCGAUCGACGGUCUCUAUCAUCUCGAACUAAUCAAGUCUUUUCCUCUUCUUUCAUGAAAUAUUCUUUGAACCUCCCGCUCCGUGGGAAUUGAACCGUUAAGCCCACUACACGGGAAGAAAGCCCACCUUCCAACUAGUGGAUUUCAGACUCGUCCUUUUUUUUAAGACUCCUUCAAAUUUCAGGCAAAGAAUAUUGCGUUGCGUGAGAUUCCACUUCAAAUUUGAGAGAAGCUGUUAAAUCCUUUAAAGCAGACGUUAGGCUCAAUUCAAAGUAUCGGGAUCUUGUAGACCGCUCCUCUUGAGUCUGAUUCCAAUAAUAUCCGUCACCUUUCAUGCAGCUGCUUAAAAAAGCGCAAAGAAGCGAAUCCUAGGCUUGAUUCAUGAAAGCUAUAAAACAGACGUAGGAUCAAUGAAAUUUGAUGAUGAUGAGAGUCCGUCCGAAGGUUCAAAGUUCGGUUAAUUACGGAAAGUCCUCCUUCGGUUAAUUACGGAUAGUCCGACUUCCUUCCAUAUGGAUAGUCCUACGGAUAAAUCCUCCGGACUGCGGACUCCGGACGUAGGAUAAAUCCUGCGGACUGCUUCGGUUAAUUACGGAUGGUCCUACGGAUAAAUCCUCCGGACUACGGAUAAAUCCUCCGGACCCUGGACCUUUCUUUGACGGUGCAAAGAAUAUUGCGGAUUUGCGUGAGAAUGAAUUUGCCUGACGAAAACCCUACCCGACCCCGACUCGGGCAUAUUAUAUUCAUGGGUCGAGAGUUUAGUCUUUCUCUUUCUUUACCACCAACGGCUUCUGAAACGGCAACUACAACUAAUAUGGAGCGUCUCCUUAACUCAGCCUUUCAUGUUCAUGAUGAAGGAUGAGGCCACUUCUUCAACAAGAUCUCAUGCCUCUGGCAGUCGAGUUCGCUUCCUUUGUUCCACGUCCCUCUCUCCUAUUUCUACUAAUAACGAAAAAAGACGAGAUCCCGCAUCCGGAAAGAACUCCUUACUUUGGAAAGAGAUAGAGAAAGAUGGAUGCUUCUGACUAAAAGAAAGUUCAGUCAGAAAGCCUAGGGGCGUCCAAUUCUCUUAAAUGAGGCUAGGGCUAACCGCUGCUCCAGGUCGAGCAGCAUUUCAUCCUCCACGAGCCACCGAUGGGGUUUGGCUUCCUCGUUCUAGAUCUGGUCGGUUGGGGAGCUCCCUUUUCUUGGGAGUUCAUCCCUUUCUAUAGUUCAUCCCUCGUUCUUACUUCUUCAUACCACAUACAUAUUAGCUAAUAAUUGCUUUUUCUUUCCACUUCUCCAGCGACGAGAACACCGGAUGGUGCUGGAAUCCACUACAGCCCUCUUCCUCUUGAGCAUAUUUGAUGCCCGUGAACCUCUAAGCUCUACAAUCGCACAUUCAAAAAAGAAGUUUGAAAAAUCCUCGCAAUAUUCUUUGCGGGUCAAGACGAGGGGUCCUCCGGACUAUUCAACCUAUUGGAGUCAAAAAAUCAAGGUCCAGAUGACAGGCGCCAUAAGACAGGGAUAUUCUUGAGUUUCUGACUCCCCCACGGUGCGGUAGUCCGGCAAUAUUCUUUGCGCCUUGCACUCAUCAAAUCCCCCGUCACCUGUCCGGAGGAUUUAUCCGUAGUCCUACGUCCGCAGUCCGCAGGGCCAAAGAAAGGUCCAGGUGAUUUAUCCGUAGGACCAUCCAUAUGGGCCAAAGAAAGGUCCAGGUGAUUUAUCCGUAGGACCAUCCGUAAUUAACCGAAGUAGGACCAUCCAUAUGGAAGGAAGUAGGACUAUCCGUAAUUAACCGAAGGAGGACUUUCCGUAAUUAACCGAACCUGGCACCGCUACGUGGGCCUGAAUUAUCGAAUAUUGCGGAAAGAAUAUCCUUUUUUUUCUAUGAACUAAUAUUUCGGAGCCUUGUCUACGAAGCAAGUUGUUCAGUCAGCGCAUAAAUCGUCUGCGAGUGUAGAGUAGUACCAUUAGCCUAAAGGCUCCGUAUCCUGAGCUAUUGGAACUAUGACUCCCGCGCUCCGUAAACUAGGCUCGGCCCCGGGUCUCGUCUCAAGCUGUGGUAUAGACGACUCCCGUCACAAAUCCAGAAAAGGGUAGCUAGUGCCCUUAAUCGAUUGAAAGACUUCUCCGUGGUUGCAACCACACCUACUCUUAGUCUAGUCUUGUGACCUGGGCUUUUGAGGGAUUCCCUGAAAGCCUUCGCAAGAACCGCUUUCUAGUUGGAUUCUAUAAUAGCAGAUAAGGAGUCAGAAUCAAAAUCCCUCGUAGGUCGAGCAGCUUCUACAUCCAGCCUCCUACCCUAUCUGAUGAAACUCGGUCCCUAGGCAAAAUCUUGUGCCUUGCUUGCUCUGUCUAAGAAUUCCUUAGAAUUCUGAUAAUGGAACAAGGGAUCUAGCUGCCGAAACAAGACCUAUGCACCUAUGAAAGACCUAUUCAAGAUCUCAUACGAAAGCUUUGAGUGAUCGACGAGAUGAUAACUCUUAUGCUGCCUCAGCUGCAACGGGAGACGAUUCUUUUACCGAUAUUCCCUCGUCGACUCUGUCCUCUCUCGUUCGCCCCGAGACCGCCCAUCCAAGCUAAGGGAGAGGUGAAAAGAAUUUGAAAAGCUACUUUCUUCUUCUCCUUCGUAAACUAAAGAGGAUGAGUUCGAGCUUACUCUGAAUGUCCCCUUUCUCAAUAGUACUUCCGAAAGAAAGAGAGGAGAAUCGCAACUCAUAUUGCAUUGAGCCUUCCCCUCUGAUUUUAUGGAUCGGUCGAUAUAUUCUAACCUCUCACCACUCUUGAAAGAGCAUUGCUUCGCACCUCGAAACUGCUCAAGAAAGAUCAAUGAACAAGGUGAAAAGUCGCAUAUUGAAUUGCGCCUCCGGACCACUCCUCCUUCAGCAUAAUCUAUAAGAAGAUUUGCACCGGGGAUCAUGACUUCUCGCAAUAUUCUUUGCGCCUGUGAAAAGUCAAGAAAAGAAAAGAAUAAUGAACUCAUUAACGAUAAUGAAAGAAGCUCAAAAUGGGAAUGAAAGAAGAAUUAUGAAUCUGCUAGAUUUCAGACAUCUUUGUGCUAGAUUUCAGAUGAAUCCGCGGAGGGAAAUGCUAGGUUUUGGGCCUAUAAAGUAGCAAGAAAUCAUGAAAAAUCAGUCAUUUUUCGACAAUUUUCGUUAAAUAGAAAUCUUUGAUUUACUAUGAAAAAGAAGCAAAAAAGCCGGGAAAUAGCAAGGCAUUGUCCUAUUUGAUUUUCGAAAUUCACAUUGAUCAGUUCUAGUUUGAGUUUCUGGUCCGGAGAAAGAGAGGUCUAUUCUUUAUUUCACUCCAGGUUAUGAAAGAAAAAUGAUGAUUUCAUUCUCGUUAAUGAGCUUCUUUUCUUUUCUUGACUUUUCACAGGUGCCAUGCAAUUAUAAAGUAAAGGGUCCAGAUGUUCCGUUCCAUAAGACAGGUCCUCCGUUUUAGAGUCCUUCUUCUUCUUUCUGGGAGUCCUCCUUCGGUUAAUUACGGAUGGUCCUACUUCCUUCCAUAUGGAUGGUCCUACUUCCAUAUGGAUAGUCCUACGGAUAAGAAUCCUCCGGACUCCGGACUACUUCGGUUAAUUACGGAUGGUCCUACGGAUAAAUCACCUGGACCUUUCUUUGGCCCUGCGGACUGCGGACCCUGGACCUUUCUUUGGCACUCCGGACUGGAUCUUGUAGCUCAAAACCUACUAUUUGGAAGAAAGAAAAGGAAAGCAGGGAGACAAGACUACAGUUCCCGCUCCGUCUUCCGCGUAGUGCGAUCUAUUUUUUCCUUCUACGUCCUACGGACUCUUAAUCUACUCAAAGGAAAGCCUAGACUGAUCGAUCUGGGGGGGGAUAAUGAGAUGAAAAGCGAGAGGAAAAGAAUCAAGAAAAGUGUCUUUCAACAAGGGCAGAAGCCAUAGAGUCACCUCGCCGAAAGGAAUCCCCCGAGGCAGUGGAAGUCGUCGCUCUUGCUGCAGAUGAGCCAGUCCCACCAAGGCGCUUAUAGCGGGGCGUAUUUAUCCUUUACGUGUCCGUCCAAUCAUCUAAAUCCGAGUACCUUCCUUACUCAAGCAUGAAUGAGGAUCCGAAACUCUUUCCUCACCGCUCCGUGGGCUUCAAGAGCCACUACUACUUCUACUUCUAGAAGAACAAGAAGAGCGGCAGCAAGGACAGCAGGCACAAGAGCCUCUGCCUCCGAAACAGGGACGGAUGCCCCUCUCAUUUCUCAUUCAAGAUCUCAUACCCUGGUCGAGAAAAAAGCCCUUGCUUUCAAUGCGCCAGUGGGAGUGAAAAAUAGACUUCUGGGGAAUCUUUCUUAUUCAAUGGAAGAACCUUCCUGUGCCGCACCGCGUAGUGGGGAAGAGUGGAGAUCCCACUCUGAAUCUUGAGUGAUAGCUUUAGGCAGCUUCACACCCCCGAUCCGGUCGGUCUAGGCUUUUCACUGGUACGAAAGAUAGGAUUCGUGGACUCACUCACAAGACCUUGUACGAUUGAAAGGAUGUAGUGGUACGAUUAGAUCGAAUAAGCCCUUCUCGCUAAUAACCAAGAAUUUUCCUUUAUCAUGGGUAAGGACAGGCUCAGAUAAUAACCUCUAUUCGCAAUGCUGACAUGAAUAGAAUGGUUCGCAUCUACUAAGAUAAGAUCACCGAAAACAUUCUUUGAAUACUUGAAAGAGAAGGAAAGCCGUCAGUCCUUUAGCAAAAAGAAAGGUCAAGAUGACAUUCUUUAUUUAGGAUCAAUGAAAUAUGAGAGGCGCCAUAAGACAGGUCCGAAGGACUAUAGGGAGAAGGACGAGGUUCAAAGUUCUAAUGGAUAGUCCGGAGGACCGAGGAGAGGAUCAAAGAAUUAUCGAAGCGAGAGGUGCAAAGAAUAUUGCGUUGACAGGGAUAUUGUGGGCAUGUCUUCUUUUUCUUCAUUUUACACCUAGAGAAAUUCUUUCUAAUUCCUUGGGAAACUCCUUCUUUUAUGGGGAUCUCUCAAAAGGAAGUGUCUGAAAGAGAAGGGCAGAAUCAUCCAUACCUCUUUCAGCCCUUGUUCAUUGAGGCGGUUAGGAGCAAGACAACGAGUUGGAUCGGACAGCUCACUAUCAGAGUUGGGCCUAGUAAGGAUAGGUUUGAAUUGCAGGUCUCGGCCCUCGGGUUUCGGAAGAAGAAAGAGAAAGCCCUUGUUCAUUGAGGCGGGCAGACAGGGAGAAGAAGGGAAUGGGGCGUGGAAAGGCCACUAAAGCGAGAGGUUCAAAUCCUUCCGUCCCAGUCUUCGAUGAGAGGUGGGAGCUUCUCGUCAUUCUUGACGAAGAAUGCAGAAUGAACUCAAUCGGUACUCCACCCAGGAGCUCAUUCAAACUCCCCAACCAAGGCGCGAUAAGCUGCUCGACUUAGAGGAAGGAGAGGUGCGACUUCCUGGUCCUUUUUGUGCGGUAUUCAGUUCCGGAAGGCUCUUAUUAGAAGCUUCACACCGAGCUAACUAAGCUGCUUUAUCGAGGAGUGGGUAGAAGCUAGGGUUUGAGAUUGGUAUGGCAUUGAAUGAGAUGGGGCUUAUUUAUGCUGAGUUGGAUCGAAAGAUGUCCCAGAAUUAGACGAACUAUGAACUCCUCAUACGAGGGAAAGGUGCGAAGCCGCUCUCAAGAGUUCACCCGAAGGAGAGGUGCGAAAAGAUGCUCGACAUUCAAACUAGAAAGUGGAGUGGAACAGCGCGAGACUAACCCGCUGGGUCAGAGGAAGGUAGCUGUUGUUGGUGCAGAAAUGCGAGGUUACGUACGAAGGAUCGGAAGUGGCAGUUCUUCAUUAUGAAUGAUAUCCCCAGGAACUCUAAAGAACAAGGGAAAGGGCUAACUUCAAGACUCAGCUCGCCGCCCAGAGAACUCUAGUUAUUAGGAUCCCCAACAGGAAGAGGUUAAGCAUCCAGAAAGAAGAGGAUAAUGCAUUCUGCAGGUUGAACAAGAGUGGGGCAUCCGGAUGGCUUUUCGGUAUCAAUAUCAAAAGGAUGGUUCUUGCGAAGCCUAGGGAGAAACUGAAGGAUUUAGUGGAUAAGGAAAGAAUUGAAUUUUGAUGCCGUAAAAAAAGAAAAAGAAAGGCGCACAUUGCGAUGAUGUGCCAUAAGACAGGUCCGGAGGAUUUAUCCGUAGGACUCUAAAACGGAGGACCCAGAGAAGAAUAUUGAAUUGACCAUAUUAACUACUUUGGAGCUGGCACACUGGAUAGGAGCGAGAAGGCACUUCUGCUUGGGCUUGGGCAAUUGGUCUAUGGUCGAUUCAGUAAGAAAUAGGAAUUGAGAGUUCUACCUCUAGGCUUUCUUCUUCUUUCUUUUGUUUUAACUCUUGAAGAAAGAAAUGAAAUUCUGUGAAAAUAAGCAAAUAUGUCAAGGAGUCUAUCCACCGCAUAUAGGCUUUAAGGACAUCGUGGCAUAACCGUCGAGGUAAAGUAGGGGGACAAUGGAAGGAUAGAAAGACAAGUAAAUUCCGCUUGAUGUAGAGGUUGAGUAGGUACCUUAAAGACAAGAAAGAAGUGAGACCCCAGCCCAGCAGCUUUGUUUCCGAGGUUAUGUAUGGAAUGGAAUAUCUGGGAAGGUAUCCCAAAGGGCUGUGUAGGGUUCUUCCUCUAUUUAUUGUAUAGAAUACAUAAUGAGUGCUAGCUUUCUGACUCAGAAGAAAGGAAAGAAAUCCCAGGCUCGUGCUUGGGACCGGACCAGAUAGGAGCGAUAUAAAGCAGAUUGCCCUAAAUUGGAUAGGUAGCCGAAUAAGAUGAUCUUAGGGGGCAUGCCCAGUUCAAAGCAAGGCCAUUGGGUCAAGAGAUCAUGACCUUGCACUCCUAGCCCCACGAGCCAACUAAGGAUGUUCGGAACCUGCCUGCCUGCUUCGAGAUCUUUCUCUUGAGUCAGAAGAAAGAGAAAUUCUCUGGUUCUCUUCUCUAGCCGGUGUCCCAUUCGGGGAUAAGUUCUUCAAUAAAGGAGGGCUCAUUCAUCAAGAUCAAGCCUAGCGAAGCGAAGCGACUGUUAAGGAGAAAAAAAAAGACGAGAGA